AUUAAAUUAAAUUAAUUUUUUUUUGAGCAAAUACUAGUUUUCAUUCAUUCAAAUCAAAACUAAGUACAAGAAGGAUUCAAAGAACCCAGAGUUUAGAACAACAUAAAGAGAGGCAUUCCCCAAUGCCACAAGAAGAUAGAUAAGAUAGAUCAACAAAGGUUCCAUGAGAGCUAUAAGCCAAAAGCUAGACAACAUUUUGACGCAUGUGAGAUCAUGAAUAGUUGAGAGGUCUUCCACGAACGAGUCGAUGGAUGAUAAGAUGGUCACGGUCAAAAGACAAGGUGACGUUGAUGAAGAGUCCAAAGUUGUGAAUCUCGCUGGUUGGUAGCAUAGGAUUCGGACCUUGAGGGUGUUGAUGGCUAGAUGGUGCUUGAAGAUGGUAGAUAGAUUUGUCGGAAAGUAGUAUUUGGACAUAAAGCUUUGGUGACAAUAAUCACACCGUGACGUAUUGGAAUCGGGAACAAACGACCAUAAUACUUCAAGCAAAAGGAGUCAUAGAUCAUAGCGAUAGGUGAAUCUAACAGCAGGGUUCUUAGGAAAAACUCGUAAAUCCAUAGCAUCGAAGGUGAUUUACAUCUCAAAUGGAGUCCUUGGCCAUUGAGAUUACUAAAUCGACACAACAAUUGACUAGAGAUUGACAAAUAAAAUUCUGAAACAGACCUGGGCUUGUUAAAACUUGGAGGUGGGCCAUAGCAAACGGAUUUGGGCUUAGGAGAGGUUAAUGGGCCACUUUUGGAAGCAGAGCCCACCAAAGAAAACCCUAGUUUCUCUUCCGUUAGCCAAUUCAGAUUGAGAAGACGGCGGCUGUACGGAGAUGAUGGUGAGAAAUGCGAUGAAGCAAGGCUCUCUGGUGGAGGCAAAUACGGCGUUUGUAACCUAUGGGCAUGGUCCAAGGCGGAGGCUGAGAACAAUAGAGGAUUGGCCUUUCCGGUGAGGAAGACCGUCUCCCAGGCAAGAGGAUCGUCGUGCGCCGUCGACGUCUUCACCGGGCAUGGCGCAACUGACGGUCCAAGAGAGAUAUCUCCUGCCAUCAACGAAGCCCGGUGUAAGGAAUCUUCUGGGGAAUUUGAUAGAGCAUGUGCUGUCCGUUCUGGCCAAGAAGCUACGAGUAGAGGGUGGGGGAGGAAGUUUGCCGGACACCACCUCUGUCCAGAGUCGCUGAUUGAUGCGUAGCCGCCGAGAUAUGAUGGAUUCGAGAUGGUUCGAGAGAUUUGAAAAAAGGUUACAGAUCUGUGAAAAUUAUUCAAAAAGAGGGGAAAAAAGAAAAACAUUGUGAAGCAAAGAUAAGCGAGGAAAGUGAUGUCCCGACGCCGGCAAGCAAGGGCUUCGCCGGCGUCGGAAAGCUUGCUCAAAGAGGGUGUCUCGAUGUUUGGGCCCGAGAGAAAAGCUUGUCUCAGGAGCUUUGGGUGCAAUGAGUCUAAUUAAAUUAAAUUAAUUAAAUUGCAUAAAAUAGUAUUUGACUUGUUUAUCCUUAAUGAGUUGAAUUAAUUUACUCUAUAAAAUUUUAUUUCUAAUGACAUUCUUAAGUAAAUUCUUACACAGGGGAAGGUUAAUUAAGGGUAAUCCAUAAAUUAUACUCCCCAAAAUAAUAGUAAAGGAUUUUCAAUGUUGACAAACGCAUGAGAUUUAGUUAUGAUGUUUUUUUUUUUUUUUUUUGUCAUCUGAAUUUUAUUGAUAAACCAAGGAAGGAUACAAGAUGAAAUACAUAUGCCGGCGGACUAUACGAAUGUCCCCAGAAACAUUAGCCCAAACAAGGGAAACAAAGCCCUAAAGUACAGGGAAACUGAUUCAAGCCAAAAGUAAAGGCAAAAUUCUAAAGAAUAAAACUACGACAAAGAGAGAAAGCAAUCUAAGCACUAUAAUUGAACAAAGGCACGAGAGACUCUCACAAUGCUUCCCUAAAGAACCUGUAAACGCCGGUAGCACCAAUAAGACCGGAUUGACCUCACACCGAAGACAAACCAGUAGCAUACCGACAGGGAGGAAAGCAAGAACCCAACGCGACCAAAGACACAAAUACAACUACCAACACUCCUCACCAGCCAAUCGGAGAAAGCAAGAAACCCUAGGUUCAAGGCAAAAACCUUGAAAUCGACCGGAGACAAACCACGAGAGAUCAACAAUUCUUACACGCGGACACUCGUCGAACCAAAUUCAGCCACCUACAGACUUAAAAAUGACGACGUCCUCGCAAGAGAAGAACUAGAGAACGAUUCCACUGCUUCGACUAGAACCUAACUCCAAAACUUCCAAAAGAAACUCAAAGAUAGGCUAGUAGGUGACUCAGCAACAAAAUCCCAUCAAGAUGGCUCACACCGAGAACGAACCAAGAGAAAACCGCAACCACUAACCAGCAAGAGGACUCGAAGGAGAGGUAGAACAAAGAUCCAAUUUCAAACCCACGAACAUAGCCAUCACCAUCGAAAAGAGCCUCACAAACCAUAACGAACCUAAAAGUAGCAACCUAAAUUGAUUCCAUCUAACCCAUAGAAACAGAAGGCAAGCUUACCCGACGAGAGAACUGACAAGACCACGGCCAUUGAUUCGUAAACCACCAAAACUCAAGAUCCACCAGGAUCCCAAAAUUUCGCCCAUUCUUCUAUGAACAGAGCACCCGCCAGAUCCACAGAUCUCGGACACCCAACAACAACUCUCAGAGGAGAAGCUGGCCACCGACAAAGCCAAACAGCCUCGCCGAGAAGAUCCACAGUUUUCGUCAAGUGAAGCCCUUCUCCAUAGAUAACCAUGAGCUAAACGAAUUGCAGAAACAACUAACAACAUCGAAAGCAAACUAAAGGCCCCUCUCACAGCAGCGGCGAAGAGCGCCGGCCACCGGAGAGGGCGAGCGAAGAACUGGUUUUGUUGGGCGGCGGCUGUUUGAGAGCGUUUGUGUCGAUUAGGGUUUUUGCCUCUCUUCACUCUCUUUCUUCCUCUUUUUUGUUCUCUCAAUUAUUAAUUUUAUUUUGUUUGCAAUAUCUUCUUUUGAUUUAGUUAUGAUGUUUAAGCUGUUAAAUUUAUGUCCACAUUUCAUAUAUACAUGUGUUCGAGUAUUUGCUAUUUUGAACAUAUAAGAUUAAACCAAAAAACUCAUAUAUCUAAACGUAAUACAAAAAAAUGACAAUAAAAGUGUAUAUAUAUAUAUAUAUAUAUGUUGUUUUUAUUACCAAGAAAAAUGAAUAUAUAUUGUAAUUCCUCUCUCUUGUAUCAUUAAAAAAAAAGAGUUUAUGGGAAGAAAUGGUAAAUGUUAUUCAAUAACGCCCAAACAUCUGUGGUCUACUGACAGAGGAAACUUUGGAAAAUGGUGAAACUCCCAUACCUGAGUUCGAUUUUCCCUGGAAACAAAAACAUUUGUUUGGAAGUCUGUCAGUUGGGCCUUGCCCCAAUUGGUUUACCUAGUAGCCAGAAAUGCAGGCGGCCUGACUACCCUCUGGCAUUAGUCGGAAAGCACUCCAAACUCGGAUCAGGCAGUGUGGUGGCCCAAUUCUGGAUCUCAUGGUCCGUUCGACCCGAGUCCGCUCGGAGCUCAUGGUAUCCGUUGAAUCGUUGAACCGCGGGAGAAGUUCACUCUGGAGCACCUCAGUGCGUUUCUACCGAGGCUGACCGGAUCAACCGAUAGAAUUUAUCAAAAAAAAAAAAAAAUGUUAUUCAAAAACUAGUUUUCUAAAUUUCAAAAAGAAAACUAUUUUUCUAAAAUUUUGAAUACUCAAGUAAUUUCUUUGAAAUAUAAAACCGAUAAGUCUUUAAAAUUAAAACCAUUCGUAAAAGCGUUAUGUGGUGUCUCAUCCAUCAUUUAACUACUCUUAAUUUUUCGUUUGACAAGGACCUGAAUAAUGUGAUGCCUCCCACAGAACUAUCUCAUUUAUUAGUCUACGGGAGAAAAUAUGGAGUAGUAUUUUUUUUCUAGAUGAUUGUAAUUGUGAUUUUUAACACAUUUUUAAUCGUUUUUAACCAAAGUGUUAUAUCAAUAAAAUGUUCAAAUAACAAACACUCGGUUCUAUGGUGUAGUGGUUAGCACUCUGGACUUUGAAUCCAGCGACCUGGGUUCGACUCCCGGUAGGACCUCUUUUUUAAGCAAUUAUUGUUGUUUUGGGCCUUCAAUUUCCUUUUUUUGUUAGGACCCAAUACUUAACGAUUGAUAACACUAAUGUCUGACUCAUUAGAAAACUUGGGGUCGACUCGAACUGGGCUAAAUUUUUGUUUCCCUCAUUUUCUUCCUCUGUAUCAAAAAGAAGAAUUCUAUGUAUCUCCCAUAUAUAAAUACAAGAAAUAUCUGAAAACGAGAUGAAUUUUUCACGAAUUAUAUAUUUUCAAUUACUUAAAUAAUUUAAUAUGUGGCAGUUACAUGUUCAGAGAUAACUUGAAUAAAUUGAUCACGAGAUCGGUUUAUAUAUAAUUAAUAUUCAUGAACUCUUGGGAAUUUUUUUUUUCCAGUAUUUGUGAAAGUUUGGGGUUUGUCUUUAACUCUUGUGGUAUUUGCGAAAGUUUUAGGUAAUUUGGUGUUUUAUAUAAUACUAGUCGCGAAAGACGGGAGUAUCAAGUAGAGAAAACGGCCAAAAUCAACAUCAAUUAUCUCCAUACAGUUUUUUUUUUAAUCCAAAUUCUGAUCCUAUGUACCUAUCAACCCAAACCCACAUAAAAUUUCGAAUAACAAACCAGAACUAUGUAACCAUUAGUCAAUUUCAACAUAAUUUUUUUUCUGUAUUUGUUAAUAUCAAUUAGAAUUGUGAUGUCGUAAUUAUAUGUUCUUUUGUUUUUGAAUCAUUUUUUUUAUUCAAUUGGCUAAAUGUUACAUAAUUCAUGUUUGUUAUAUUAUAUAGUAACAUGUAUAUGUUGAAAUUGGCUAUCAGUUACAUAGUUCAUGUUUGUUACUUGAAAUUCAUGUGAGUUCGGGUUGAUAAGUGCAGAGAGUCAAAAUUUGGAUUGAAAAAGCCGCAUGAAAAUAGUUGGGGUUGAUAUUGGCUGUUUUCUCUUAUCAAAUAUGGUGGUAUACUAGUAUUUGUCAAAGCUUUAGUUGAACGAGUGAAAAGUUUGUGGUGCUUUGUAAUAUGUUUAAUGAAUGGUUUAAUUUUUCUCGUUUUACUCACGAUAUUCUUGCAAGUAUGAAUUUGGUUGUAUAUAAAAAGAAGUAGUAGGGAUUUUUAUGUGAGCAAUUGAGCACCACAUAAAUGCGAGAUGAAUGAGAGUUUUUUUUUUGACAUUUUUGGAUCGACAAGACCCGAUCCAUAGCUAAUCCCUACUACGCGGGGUAACGUGACUCAGUAGAGUCGAAAUCCGGUGGGGAAGGCGAAAUCUAGUGGACUUAACCACUUACUAAAGGCACAUCCUCGCUAAACGAGGGUUUUGAGACGUAUUUUUGUAAAAUCGGUUUUAUUGAACGUUAUACUAUAUAGUAUCACAUAAAUAUAACUGCUAACCACUAAAUUUAGAUACUAAAAUUAGUAUUGAUCAUUUAAGAAAAAAAAAUCAGCAUUGAAGAAGAUCCACAUGAAUAAGACUAGUCUCUUAAUACAAAUUUAAAAUAUGAUUUUCAUAUUAUUGUUCAUUUAUCUUUGUGUUGGUCAUUGGUGCCAGACUUUAUUAUUUACAUUUAAUGUUGAGUUGCUUGCUGACAUAUUUUUUUAAUUAACGAACUUUAUAUUAUUGCCCAUUUAUGUUUCGGUUGGUGCUCCAAAGACUUAUCAAAUACUAUAUGUUUCUCCAUUUUCAUUUUAAGGAUCUAAACCGUCUUUUUCCAACUUAGAUUCCAUAUGGUUAUAGCAAACCGGAUAUACUAAUUUGGUCAUUUUAGCGGUAUAUUUUUAUCGUUGGGGUUACCAAUCAAACCCGGUAUUAAAAUACAAUUGUCACCAAAUUAAUGCGGUUAGGUAAAUUUAAUUUAUUAGAAAUUAAGAAAAAAAAUAACGAACAAAAUUUUCCUCAUACACAAAAAAAAAGAAAAAACCCUGACUCGCUCUAUUAGUCAAUCCCCUUCCCUAGUCCUCCUCUCUUCAAGCUUUUCACAGAAACCACCCUUCUCUCUCUACUGCCUUUUACCACUGAGAAGAGAGAGAGAGAGAGGAUCCGUCGGUGUGUACUAAUCUCACUGACACUACAUCCGAUCGUCGCCGGUAAGUUGAUUUCGUUACCUUCCGAUCAAUUUCUUAACCGGGCCAGAUGAACUUGUUUUCCGUUCGAAAUUCUGACUUGAACUUGUUGUCAAUUCCUCAAACGCUUUCUCUUCAAUUAUCUUACUGCUUCGUUGCUGAUCUCUACUUGUUUUCCUCCGUUUUGCAUUUUCCAGUGGCGUUUCUUAGUGUUUCACUAGAUUUAGACUGGUUUUGCUUGUGUGCAUUUUGUCGUCUGUGUUUAUGAUUGCUCUCUUUAGCUCCAUGUUUCUCUGGAUUCAAUAAAAUAUGAGUUCGCUGCUCUGGAUUUUGUUUUAUUUUUCGGAUUUGUUUGCUCUAACGAGUUAAGCUGGUUUGUUUGGUUGUUCAUUUUCAUAAUCUGUCCAAAGAAUCGAAUCACAGUAGCUCGGAUCUGAGAUUGAUUUGUUUCUUUGCGUCUUUGUGUACAGAUUUGACUUCAAUUUUGAGAUUGUUUUGUGCUGAUAUAGCUGAAUUAAUAUAGCCUUUUGAUGUGUUAUUAUCAAUCUACAGGUGACAUUUUAUAAGUGUGGAGUUGCUUUAUUGAUGGAUCAGGUUGGUGUAAAUAGUUGUUUCAGUUCUUAGUCACUGCUUAAUCUUUUGACGAGAGUCUUUGUUAAUGUGCUCUUAUUGAUACAGUACGAGAAAGUUGAGAAGAUUGGUGAAGGAACUUACGGUGUGGUUUAUAAGGCACGAGACAAAGUCACUAAUGAGACAAUAGCUUUGAAGAAGAUAAGGCUAGAGCAGGAGGAUGAAGGUGUACCUAGUACAGCCAUUAGAGAAAUCUCCCUCUUGAAAGAAAUGCAGCACAGCAACAUUGUCAAGUAUGAAGUUAAUGCCAUUGUCGAUAACUGAUUCAGCAUGAUGACUCUGGUGAACAAUUUUGACUGAUAUUUGUUGCUACGCAGAUUGCAGGAUGUGGUGCACAGUGAGAAACGUUUGUAUCUGGUUUUUGAGUAUCUUGACUUGGAUCUCAAAAAGCACAUGGAUUCAACCCCUGAUUUCUCCAAGGAUCUACAUAUGAUCAAAGUGAGUGCUAAGAAACUUUAGGCAUAGUUUUAUAUAUGUGCUAGUGUUAUGUGAAAGUACUUUAACAAACCAGCAACCCCUAAACGUACUGUCUUAUUGAGCCAUUUGGUUGGUCAUGAUGCCAUCAUCUUCCCUCUGGUCACUUUAGUACCUCUAUCUGUUUGGUUUCGCUGAAUAUUGGUGAAAUCUAAGUUAUGUAAUGUCCUUCCAAUGCGUUUUUAGUACUCAAUACAAGCUGAUCAGAGCUGUUCAUCCACUAUUUGCAGACAUAUCUUUACCAGAUUCUCCGUGGAAUUGCGUAUUGCCACUCUCACAGGGUUCUCCAUCGUGAUCUAAAGCCACAGAAUUUGUUGAUUGAUCGCCGCACAAACUCACUAAAGCUUGCAGAUUUUGGACUGGCCAGAGCAUUCGGUAUCCCUGUCAGGACAUUUACUCAUGAGGUACCAAAGAGCUUAAUUCCUUGUUCAUAAGUUUCCGUUAUGAAAUCUUUUGGCUGGCUUCAUUCCUUAAGAGUAUAGUGUAUACUCGAGUAUUAUACCACUUAUGUAUCUGAUAAAUGUGAUGAAAGCACUAAGACAUUCACACGGUUGAACUAUGCUAGAUUCAAGAUACUAUAAAAUAUUUCAAUGCUACAUUCAGAUUUCAGAUCUCUUCGUGGACAUUCACACAAUUUUUGCAUAUUGUUCCUUUUAGGUGGUUACUCUCUGGUACCGAGCACCAGAGAUACUCCUAGGAUCUCAUCAUUACUCUACACCUGUUGAUAUUUGGUCUGUGGGAUGCAUAUUUGCUGAGAUGAUCAGCCAAAAGCCCUUAUUUCCUGGAGACUCCGAGAUUGAUCAACUCUUCAAGAUUUUCAGGUUUCAUUACUAGCUUCCCCAGUCCAAUAUUCUUCUAUAUAUUACAAUUGGAAAGACUUCUCUGCAAUGAUAUCACGGGAUUCUGAAAACACUUUCAUCUUGAUAUCACAUUUUGGAGAAGUAGUAAAGAACACAGAGAUUAAAUUGUUUACUGAUUAUAAAUCUGUUACUGCCAUCUUUUUUUGUCUACUACUAGAAUCAUGGGAACUCCAUACGAGGAUACAUGGCGUGGGGUAACUUCGCUGCCGGAUUAUAAAUCUGCUUUCCCUAAAUGGAAACCAACGGUAUUUCAAAUUUCUUCAUUUGCUUGUACAUCUUGUCUUCAGUAGUCAAGAGUUCACAACAUAAUAUAAUUUUUGCCCUUGUUUUUUUUUUCUUAUAUCACAGGACCUAGAAAGUUUUGUCCCCAAUCUAGAUCCCGAUGGAGUAGAUCUCCUUUCUGUAAGUUCACUGAGCUUAUAUACAUAUAUGUACCUGGAUGCUUGAUUUUAAUGGAUCUGGUCUCAUGUUACCUCUACUGAACCUUUAAACAUUUGAGGUCAUCAAUAUUUUCAUUUGGUCUUUAGGACUAGAAACCAACCUUGGUGUGGUUAAAACCAUCGUCCAGUGAGCCUUCAUAGUUUCUAAACCCAUAAGUGGUCAUCAAAAUCACAUCAAGCCAAAACCAAACCGGUCUGAAACAUGAACAACCUUCAAUAACCGGGAUUCUUGAAAGUCCUAGACUAAACCAAACUUGUGGAUAUCUAAGAUUUUGAUGCUCCUUUGCAACGAAAGAUGAUAAUAUAUGUCUCUGUUUGAUUUGUUACAGAAAAUGCUGUUAAUGGAUCCGACCAAAAGAAUCAACGCAAGAGCCGCCCUGGAGCAUGAAUACUUCAAGGAUCUUGGCGUCAUGCCUUAGAAAGGCAUAAAACCAGUAAUCUCCUUCAUUUUAUAUAUAAUUAUCUUUCAAUCUUAAGAAAAUGAAGAACAACAAUAUUAAUGGGUUUUGUUUAUUCUUUUUUUAUGAGUUCAUUUCCUACCUAGUACGAAAAAAAAAAGAAGAAGAUUUCGAGUGUGUUUUUUUUUACUUCUAAGUUUUUGAGAUCAGUUUCUUGUAUCUUCUUUUACCCAGAAUAUAAUAUUCCCCUAUAUGAAAUAUGGUUUUUGUUUGCAAAGUGACCAUAUUAUGCAACUUCUUUUCUGUAUAAUAGCAGUGAUUAUUAUCUAUCGAUUUUAUUUUAUAUUUGGAUUCAUGAAUUUGAUUAUUGGCGUGACAUGGAUUAAGUUUACAAGAGUUGCCUUCUUGAAUGACUUGUCAGCUGUUCGAGUGAGCCUUGAUAUAGUGAUCUUUUGAAAUAUAUCCCAAAAAACAUCACUGUGAAUUUAAAUACCAUUUAUGAAUCCAAUGUUUGUUUAUGCUACUAUAUACAUUCAUAUACAGUAUAUAUAAGAUUGAUAAGUUUUUUGUUUGUUUUUCCAAUCAAAUAAUAAUUUUGAUAAAAUAUACCUUUUCUAGGGAGUUUUUAUACUUCCCAGAACUUAACAUCAAAUAUACAAGACUUAAUCUGAUAGCUUGCUUGACUAGGAGGAUUUUAGACUUUUAGUAGAUGGUUUUCAGUUUUCAUUUUUUUCACUACUUCAUUUCAUUAGUACUUAUUUACGAGUUACGACGUCAUUUUUAUUCCCUAUAUUUUUAAAGGAUACACUGGUUUUAUGUUUUAAUGAGAGAAGAGGGUCCAAGUAACCAAUCAUUAAUGAGAGACCAAAGUUGACGAGAAAAAGCCGACAAAUAAAUUGACGAGAAGAACAAUUCAACACGUAUUGGAUAGUUUAUAUUACACAUUUUACAGUUGGUAUAAAUUCGAAUUUUAUCAAAUGUGAAUUAUCUAAUCUAAACUAAAUGAAGGUAGACAGAUCUUUACCAGGUGAUGACCAUCUAAAUGUUGACAUAAUAAUCAGCAGCAGUGGUUUCAAUCUAUUCACAAAGCAACUUUUCGGAAUAAGACGUAAAAAAACAUUAAACGACAAUUAAUUUAAACGGAGGGAGUAUAUCAUUAUUUAGCACGCUAAUAAUGAUAUAUUCAUUAACAGUAAUUUCCUACUAAUUAAAUAUAUAAAUUUAUAUUUAAAAGAAUAGCAUAGUCAAAAUACUUAAAAAAAAUCAAAUUCAAGAGAAAUAAAUAGCACAUUAAUUGAUAAAAAAAAUAGCACAUUAAUGAUAAAAUCAGCAUAAUUUUAUUAAAUCAAAUUCAACAGCAAUAUGUCACCCAAAAAAAACUAUAUACUUAUUAAUUUCAAUUAGUUUCAUUGUCAUUUACCUAAUUAAUUUAUAUAUAGAAAAUUAUAAACAGGAAAUAACUUAAAGGCGUGUGCAAUGUCAAGACUGAUUCCUCAAAAAGUCCCAAGAAUAUUACUGAAUCUAUUACACAUCAAAUUAUUUGGUGACAGAAAGAAAAAAAAUCAUAAAUCAAUUACCAUAAACUCUAUUAAAAAUUGAUAUCUUGAAAUUAGUUGACUCGUAAAAAGGGAAAGGUGGAUUAUUAAGAGAGGCCAAGUAGCCGGAGAAAAAAAACAUAAUCCUCUUCUCUGUCCCCCCAAGUCAAUAAUUCCUUUUUUGAUUUUUCCUUUUUUUAUUUUCUUAACCAAAUUUAUUGCUUUGAAGACUUUCUUUGUUGUGUAGCCAAAAAAAAAAAACGCGAUUUUUCUGGUUUCUUCCGAUGUUAGAUUUGCAGCCGUCAGAUCGGCGUCAUGGAGCUCCGAGUAGUAGCGGCGGUGGUAGUGGUGGUGAUGAGCUGAUCAGAACUUAUAAAGGCUGGAAAGGAAAUAACGUGAGCUUCUUCUUCUUCUUCUUCUUUAUCUCUUAUGAUUGAUUUUGUUUUUCUGGGUCAGAUUUAAUGUCUUUGAGUAAGAUCUGAAACGAAAAACCUCAGAUUUUUUGGUGGAAUUACUCAGUAGUUGUGGAAUAAUCAUUAUCUUUUUUUUUUUCUGGGUUUGGUCAUUUUUCCUGAAGUUUAUAAGAGUAAUAAGUUUGACUUGUAUACCCUAAUUUUUAGAUGUAUGAAGCUUUUUUUUUUUGGUUGUGCUCAUUUGGAAUUUGACUUGCUCAUCGUUAAAACUAGUUUCCAUUUUGCUCUCAUGUAAUGAUUCAUCAAGAUUUGUUCUUUUCUUGAAAGAAUUAGAGCCAAACAACUAACUUACAAGAAAUCAUUAGAGUGUCUCUAUAUAGCACCAGACCAUGUUGUUUUACCUGGUUUCGUCUCAUAGUUAGUUCCGUGAGUCUUCGUCUAGAUGUUCUAAAGUUAUUAGGAUAACGUGUCAAAGAUGUUGGUCUUUUACAAAGUUUUUUUAUGUUUAUCAGAAGUUUGAGUAAAGGUUUGCCUUAGAUGUGCGAUCACAUAGUUACAAGAGUUUUUAUUGUCUUUAAGUUGUUAAUUCAACUGUUUUGGUUAUGUAUGUAACUAAAUUUGUGACAUUGUCAAUUUUUUACUGAUCUUUGAUUUGUUCUUUUUUUCUCCAGGUGUUCUUUCUUGGAGGAAGGCUCGUGUUUGGACCCGAUGCUCGAUCUAUUCUGAUCACUAUCUUCUUGAUUACAGCUCCUGUCAUUGUAUUCUGUAUUUUUGUUGGCAGAAAAUUUAUUGAUGAUUUUCCUCACCAUAGAGGAGUAUCAAUAUUAGCUGUUGCUGUUGGUCUGAUUUUAUUAGUGAGUUCUUCUUUCUCAUGAAUGUUUUUUCCCUCAUUCUGAUUCCGAUUCCACUCCUGCAUUUACAUAUCUCUGCUGCAACCUUUUACUCUUGGCUUCUUGAUAAUAAAGUUUAGUAUUUGUUUGUCCACAGGAUCUAAUAUUUCUUCUUCUAACUUCCGCGAGAGACCCAGGAAUAAUACCACGUAAUCUAUAUCCUCCUGAACCAGAAGGUAAUGAAGGCAAUGGAGAACCGCGUCUUGCUCAUACUCCUCAGAGUCGGUUGCCUCGGACAAAGGAUAUGAUUGUAAAUGGAAUUACUGUGAAGAUCAAAUACUGUGACACAUGCAUGCUUUACAGACCACCCCGUGCUUCUCAUUGUUCGAUUUGCAACAACUGCGUUGAGAAGUUUGAUCACCACUGUCCUUGGCUUGGUCAGUGCAUUGGAUUGGUAAUGGAUAUUAUUUUGCCUCAUCAAAAAUCUUGCUUGUACCCUCUUUUUUCAUCUCUCAAAACGUGUAUCAUCCAUAACCGGUGGAUUUCUAAAUUUAGAAAUUAGAACUAUCUUUGCAGACAAUAACCGGUGGGUUAAAUGAGAUGUCUUUAAAUAAAUUUAUAAUUGUCAAGAGGAUAAUUGCAUAUAUCUAGACGAUUCAAGAGGAACUAACAGUAAUUUGAUGUUUUUGAUUGCAGAGAAACUAUAGGUUCUACUUCAUGUUUGUGUUGUGCUCAACUCUUCUCUGCAUUUAUGUCCAUGUGUUCUGCUGGAUCUACGUCAAGCGUAUAAUGGAUAGUGAAAACAUAAACAUCUGGAAAUCGUUUAUCAAGACUCCUGCUUCCAUCGCACUAAUAAUCUACACUUUCAUUUGCGUCUGGUUUGUUGGUGGGCUUACCUGUUUCCACUUGUACCUAAUGAGUACCAAUCAGGUAAAAUCAUUACUCUCUUAAAGCUCCUUGAAACAGUUGGAUAAUUUAGCUGCUUGUUAACAUUAGUUCUCUGUUGUUUAAUAUGUUGUGAUUUUGCAGUCAACUUACGAAAACUUUAGGUAUCGGUAUGAUAGACAUGAGAACCCCUUCAACAAAGGAAUAGUGGGGAACUUUAUGGAAGUAUUCUGCACAAACGUUGCCAUAUCUCAGAACAGUUUCAGAGCAAAGGUUUCAAAGGAGCCUGCAAUACCACCAAGGACAGUAAACGGAGGGAUGUCAAGCCCUAGCUUACAGAAAGUUUCCCACGACAUAGAGAUGGGAAGAAAACCAGUGUGGCACGAGACAGUAGAAGAAGAGCUCGGUGACAUGGAAAAGGACAUGGAAGCAGGGGUUGCAUCACGGGAUUUGAGCAGAAUGCUUCCUCCAGAAGAAUCUGAAGGACGCGGGAUAAUGCAUUCAAGAGAGUCAAGCAGGGGACGUGGGAUUAUGCAUUCGAGAGAGUCAAGCAGGGGAAGAAGAGGAGGGAGCUGGGAAUUGUCAAGCCGUGUUAACGAAGAUUUAAGAACCAGAGAUGAAUCUGUGUCAAGAGUCGGUGAAGACAGCUCAGAGUCUUCAGACAAUGAUGCUUCCAGAGAUUUACAUGUUGAGAUAUAUGAUGUAGUAACAAGUAGAGGAAGAACCGGAACUGGUAUAGGGCGGUUAUAGUCUCCGGUUUUAAGCCAAUUACACUAAGAAAAAAAGGUUACUGAAAAAGGUAAGGGAACUCAAGAUUGUGAUUCAGGUUUGUUUGUUUAUCUACCACAUUGUAACGUGUUUGUGUAAAGUAUUUGUUCAAAGGAUAAAAGCUUUUUAAAUUGCUGGAAAAUGAAACAACCGAAAUAUUUCAUUUUUAAAUAGGGAUGUUGUGGUAGGUUAAAAAGCCAAUCCUAGCAGGAACCCGAAUUGAGACCGUUCACAAGAAGCCUGAAUUUGAAAAACCCGAUGAGUUCCGAGCUAAAUCUUUGGAUUUAUAUGUAUUAGUGUAUGAUACUCAUUCAUAUACACCUAAAUCUUGUUAUAUAUUCAUCUAAAUUCAGUUUGUAUUUUAUGAAUGAUAUUAUUUUGAUGUAGAUUACCUAAAAUUUGCCAACAAUUAAGGGUUUUAAGCUAUUGAACGAAUUGGGUUAAUUUGACUCUGUUACAUAUUGGUUAAAGUUGUUAACUAGCCAUAAUAUGUAUCUUUGCAAAUGUUAAUAAAAGGAAACACCAAAAGCCAAACACAAACUGAUCAAAGUUAUCUUCCUUAGUCCAAAAUAUCACCGUUAUUCAAACUUCAAAGUACUUAAAAUUUAAGACAUAAACAUAAAGACAUAAGACUUCUUCACUCUUCACAUACUCAGCAAUAGAUAAUAACUGGAUGAACCUACAACAUACAAAAAUUUAAAAUGAAAGUCAGAUUUGAGUCAUUCACAUCUAAACAAAUCUCAGUCUAGUUUUCAAAAUGUCUUACCUGAUAUGUGCUAGAAUCCUCAAUUCCAACAUCAUCAUCACCGGACUUCAAAAUAAGUUCUAUGUAAUUGCUGCAAACACCAAAUGCAAAACUUUAUUUCUGAAAAUAAUAAUACCUGAGAGACCAAACUUUAUUGCACUAACAGAGUAAUAUUUUCAAGUACUAAAGAUAAUCAUUUUACUAUUUGUGCAAAGAUAAAAGAACAGAGUGUCAAUCACAGAGAGGCAGAAGAAACAUACUUGAUCAAAACCAAACUCCAAGAAAUGUUGCAGGUUUUGUCGUGAGUAGAGAGAAAAAUAGAUGCAUAAAAGAGAUUAGCCAUAGAGAAUACUUGUGGUAGAAGAAGAAAUCUGCAACAAACAAGAAAAACUAUUCUUACAUUAACAGAAGCCGACUAAAUUAACAGAGGACAAAUACCUAAAUAUAGAACCAUAUUGACAUACCUUAGGUUACUUGAGGGAGAAUUCAUCUGAGAUAAGUUUCUCAUCUUCUUCAUAAACCUGAAGGUUCUUGGACUUCAUAAGAAACUCUAAAGCCUCUUCAUCAAACUCCACCAAGUAAGCCAUCUUCACAAGCUCUGAUAACCGUCCGAUCAGAUCCUCUCUCUCCCACAUCACACCCUUAGCAAUCACCUCAGCAAAACACGUGGCAUACUCCAAAAGCUUUCUUUUCCCACAAGGUUUCUCCAUCUUCUCUGCAUAAACCACUCCUUUUUCUCUCUCCCAUCUUAUCAUCCUCUUAGCUUUUGCAAUCAGUUUCUCUCCCUUUGACGGUAGAUUCAGAGUAUACUCUGUUGUGAUUGUCUCCGAUGUUUCUAUAACGUCGAGGUCAACAAGGCUAUGUAUGAUUCUUAAACGUUCAGCAGCUUCUACAUUGAGAGACGGAUCAGAGAGGAACCCGAGAAUGAGCUUCACUAGCCCCGGUCCGAUCAGGCUAUUCUUUGGAUCGACGACCUCUUGCUGCUCGACUUUGACUCCGGUUAGGUCAGCUUCUGCGAUCUCAAUGCAUUUGGAGACCUCUUUGACACCGAUUCUUCGAUAAAGCUCAAUAAGCCUGGUUCGGGACAAUGUAGGAAUGCUUGGAGAUGGAUACCAGACGAAAACAUGAGAAUCAAUGAACAUGUCUUUCAAGAGCAAGUCAUCAGCGAUGAAAACGUCGCUGAUGUUAGACAACAUGACUCCUUCAUUGUUGUUGCAAUCUGGUGCUUUUACGGGCAAACACGAAAAGGACUCAGAAAGGAGCUUCUCUGCUUUCAUAGUGUCACUGUGUCGGACAACGAAGCUCCAGAACGCACAACACUCAUCAUUAGACAAUCUGUUCUUCGUUUUCUCCCAAUCUUUCCACAACUCACAGUAAUCUUCAAUAGACGGGUUGGUUCUCACGCCAAAUGCAAAUGAGAAGAAGCCAAGAAGGUCAUGAUCCUUACCACUCCCAUAGUAAUUUUGAAGAACGUUUAACUUUGAUCCAAAGAGCUUAUCUUUGUCAAAGAGCACGCAACUAGAAACAUCAGCCCAUUUCUCAUCACUUGGUAUCCAAAUUCGACCUGAAGAUGCACCUCUCUCAGGUUUCCAUUCAGCUUCACUGAGAAAUCUAUAAACCCGGGAAAUAGCAUCAGUUUCUGAAAGUUUAUAGACGUUGCUUGCAAGCAACUGGCAAGCUUUGUCUGUAUCAUGACCAACUCCUAUCGCAAUAAGCUCUUCUCUAAACGAUUUAAUCUCUGAACCAUAAAACUCUUCGUCGAUGAACGGACCAUCACACGGCUCUAACUUCCAGCUGCUAUCAAACAAGAGACACUCCUCGGGACAGCGGUAACCAGCAUGAGUCUUCAACCAUUUCACAGAAACCUUAUCACGAAACUCUGUAGGAAGUUGCUGAAAUCUGUCUUCAAGCAAGAACGUGAUGCACUUCAAAAGAGACAGGGCGCUUGAAGGAGCGAUGCGAGAUGGAUCAGGGAGACUUAGGGAGCUAAUCACAUGGCUCAUGCCAUUCCUCAGCUCAACUGUAACUCCCAAGCUCUCGAGCUCUUUUUUGAAUUCAUGUAUGCUCUUACCAUACCAGUUUGGACCAUCAUCGAUAAAGGGAAGAUUCGCUAUGAGGCGGAGGGGUUCCCAGUCUGAAUCAAAGAGAAUGCAGUCCUUUGGUGCACGGAAAUCGCCAAGUUUGGUAUGCAGCCAUUGAAACUCUUUGAAGCUUUUCGUAAGUUCAUCAGGAAAUCUGUAACUACUUCCCAUCAGCUUCCUGUAGCAAGAUAAAAGAGACAAUGCGGUACAUCGGGUUAGCCCAGAGGAGGUGGCUUUCUGUUUGAAUGUGCUGACAAACACUUUCACAGCUUCUUCAAGCUGAAGCUUAACACCAAUCUGCUUCAGUUCUUCUUUGUAGGAAAAUAUUCUGCUUCCAUAGAAAUCAUCAUUGAUCACAGGAAAGCAAUCAAAAACAGAAAGAAGACAACUCCACUCUGGAUCAGGUAUGAAACAUUCAGCAGGAGAUUUAUAGCCAUUCUUCUUUGUCUUGAAGCAUUGAUAAGAAUUCCUCAGGGCAUUGAUCAGCCUAUGCGGACUCAGUUGACGCAUGCAGUCAAGUACUAGGAACAUUGCAUCGGGUGUCAAGUAAGUCAGCUUUGCAGUAUUCAAAUGAGAAACGAUGAGGCUGUGGUUAUUAGGAAACUUAACUACAACGCCAAGCAACUCAAGUUCUUCCUUAUAACCAUUGAGGCUAACUUCACCAUAGAAAUCUUUGUCAAUGAUUGGAAUAUCGCUGAUCAACAACGCAGCUUUCCAGUCUUGGCUGAACAAAACAGCGCCAUCUGGAGAUUUGUAACCAGAACUAGUCUUCAGCCAAGGACCAUCUUUGACUGCAGUGAUAAAAUCAGCUGGUGGGAGGCGCUUCUCUCUUAAGUACCUAAUGAAUUUCAGUAUCGAGAACACGUUUGCGCUUGAAAGUGUUGAAGUCUCAGCUAAACUCAUAAGAUGGUUGCCAACAAAUGUACAUGCUUCACUAAACUCAAACAUAACACCAGCAGUUUUCAACUCUUCUUUGUAGCUGUCAAUCUCUUUCCCAUAGUAGCUUCGAUCAACCAGCGGAAUAUCAACAAGAAUUGAUCCGUUCUGCAGAAUACUUCCCCAUGAUGAAGUAUGAUAAAACGACUGAGAAGGCGGCCGAUAAUCAGAAAUCCCAUUCAUUGUUGUUCUCAACCAACUGCCUCCUCUAACAGAAUGCAAAAAGUUGGAACGAAGAGAAUAUCUAUGACAUUUAAUCCAAUCCAACAGCAAAAAAACAUUCUCCUUUUUAAGAGCCCCGGACAACGCAGGUAUAGCAGCAUUUGGAGGUUCUAUGUCAGGUAUAUCUCCAGCCUUAACAUAAGAUUUCAAGAACACGAGAAGGUCUUUCUUGUUAGACCGAAGACCAGCAAACCUGUUGGACGACAAAUACUCUUCUGAAAGUUCAAUAUAGCCACUAUGUCUCCACGGGUUAGAACCAACUAAGCUAACCCAUUUACCUGCACUAGCUGGAACAAGAACCCCACUCCUGCUUGUGUUGACAUUACUAUAGUUGUCCACAAGCGGCAUGUCUUUGCAGCAUUUACCAGCUUCUUCUUCUGAUAAAACCUCUUUUGAGAUAGAGUGAUGCAAAAAGUGUGCAUAUGCAACUACAAGCCUCUUAUCUCCAUUAAGAUUCUCCCCGAGACGUUUUGCAUAGUCAGAGACACUAAGAUUGGUGACUUUAAGGUUCUCUUUCAACCAAUUGUGUAUUGUCUCUUUCUUGGAGCACGCUUUCAACGCUGUCCGGGUUGUUGGUGGCAUGAAAACAAACUUAGACAUGCAUCUGAACUCAUCACUCCAAUCUAGUAGCCAUGCCUGGUUCUUCUCAGUGGACAAGCAUAGUGUCCGAGGACUGAAAUCACCCAAACUGCUAAGAGAACUCACACCCUUCUGGACAACAUACUUGAUAAGAGGAACUUUCCCCAUAUUAGUACUCUGAAACCUAGACUGCCAAUUCUCAGCGAUGAAGAGUAGAACCUCCAUAUACGUACCUUCUGACACACUUGCCACGAGAUAACAGCCCUGCAUGCAUUUUACAUACCACUCGUUGCUGACUUGCUUUAGACCCAAGAAGUUCAGAACGUUGUCAUAUUCGGUUCUGUCAAACGCGGAAUUCAAAAUGUAGAUCCCAUGAGAUGAUAUAUUCUGCAAGCUUGCACCUUCACUUCUUGCUUUCUCCAAGAUGUCCCAAAAAGUAGGUAUGAGACGACCAACUUCACACGGCUUGUGGAAGAACUUCUGUCCUAAAUGAGAUAUGCUUGGCACAAUUUCCUCUGCACAAACCCUUGCCUUGAUAGAUUCUCGCACCACAUUCAGCUUUGCAUAAUUAGAUUCUUUUACAGGCAAGAACCUAAAAGCAGGGAGGACGCUAGACACCGGAGCAUCAGUCUUUUUGACCAAGGUCGUGAAUGCAUUCAAAAAUGCUAUAGGGACACAGCUGAGAAUCCCUUGGUUCCAUAUAUCAUCCAAUAGAAUAGUCUCCCUGGACGAGGCAAGGAUAAAAUCUGCCUGAAUUAUGAAGGGAAAGUUUGUUACCAUUUCUGUGGGAAGAAAUGCAUAGAUACCAGGAGAGCUAUUUCCUCGGCCAAGACGCUCUCCAAAUGGAAAUGCCAAAGUGAUGACCCAAUCAUCGACUUCACUUCUCCUGUCCACACGGUUCUCAUGUUUCACAGGAAACUUUUGCUUCCACAUGUAGUAGCUGCAUUCUUGUUCAGAGUUUUUCCCUUUCUCAGAAGCUGAGAGAUGUAUUGUGUAAGACUCAGCAUCAAUGCUCUUCCUCGUCACAAAAUUAGUCUCACUAACAAUCCCGAUUGAGUUCACUGUGCUGAGCUUUGCAUCUAGGCAAUGUUCUCUGAUAGAAAGACGCUUGAUCUUUGAGAGAAACAACAGAACCUCAGGAUGAACAUUGGAAAGCUGUUCUUUCACCGGCUUUACUUUGUCAUACUUCAAAGGCAAGAUAAUGGUCGUGGUCGGAAGAGCAGAACCCGAACCGUACAUCCUUUGAAUAUCAACAAGAGAAGGAUGUUGCUCAACCCACUCAGGAACAAUGUAGCCAAGGCUGCAGUGGCUGCAAGGUGCCUCAUUGAAGCGAAUCUGAUAGCCAUUGCUGAAAAUAUAGGGCUGUGAGGUAAUCAAGAACACACUCUUGAAACCGAUACCUGCCAAGAUUGAAACAGAAUAAACAUGUAAGAACAACAAGGGUCUUUGAAAUUUGAGUUUGUCUAGAGGUCAUAUAGUAUAAGGCAAAAGACAUACCUUUCUCUCCAAUAUAACCGCGUUUUCGAUUGCCUUUCUUGGUAGACCUCCCAACACUGCAAAUGGAGUCAAUGUUUUUCUCAGAGAAACCUUUCUCAUUGUUGAAAAUAAGGAGAGUGGCUGGAGCUCCGGUGGCCGUGAUAUCGUCAGAUGUUAUCACAAACUCAAGAGAUGGAUCCACACCUUCCGGAUACUCGUUAUCUUCAGCAUUCUGAAAACCAAAGGAAAAAAUAAAUACCUAGCAUUAGCAAAAACUGCAGGAAGAAGCCAAUUUCUUGCUCAAAAGGUUUCCUAACUAAUGGUGAUCUCUGUAAUAUAUUUGAAAAACUAAACAUCGCAGGCUAAGCAAAAAAACCAUAAAACAUGUGUUCUGUAUCUAUCACAGAGGAAAAUAGUCCGGGAAAAAGUAGGUUCCAGAUUUCCUCGGGAACAGAACAGAGCACAAAACCCUAGAGAAAACAGAGCAAAAUGGGAAACAAAAUCUCACAAAAAAAAACACACAGAAACAGAGAAAUAUAAGAGAUAGAGGCGUGAGAGAGUAAACGUACUUGGAUAAGCUCCAUGAGGAAGUGAACAUCCUUAGCAUAGAGCUCAGCGGAGAGAUUCUUCACAGCUUGAUGAAGAUCCUCCGUCAACGGAUUUUCAGCUCCGCCGAUCGAAAACUUAGUCCGACGAAUUCGUUCAACGUGUUGCUUAGCCGAUUCCGCCAUUGUUUCUCUUACUGGUUUGGUUUUGGUUUCUCUCUGCAAAAUGUGAAACGACAGACAGAGAGUGAGGAAUUUAAAGAGAAGAAGGAACCUUCGUGGGGAAGGUAAAACUUGGGAAUUAAGUAUAACGAUGAUGUGACACUCUUCUUUUGUACGGGAAAAACCAAAAGACUAUAAUUUUAUUGGCUAACCAAAAGACAAAUUGAUGUGACACUCUUCUUUUGUACGGGAAAAACCAAAAGACUAUAAUUUUAUUGGCUAACCAAAAGACAAAUCUUGUACUGUGUUCUUAAUUUCCAAGGAAAAAGUUAUGUAGCUUCGUAAAUCUAAGUCUCUUUUAAUUCUUUCAUCUUCAACACGUUUAUUAUUGAGAUAACUCCUAUAAUUAGAUUUAGAUAAUGAAGUAAUCUACCCUAGUCUUUAUCUAAUAUCUUUAUCUAGUUACGAUUCUCUACUUGUAUAAAAUACCAAUCUUCAUGAAUUAUACACAAGAUUUUCCACAAACUAUUUCAUUUCAUUGAUUAAUAACGAGAAAGUAAAAUGUAAUCGACAUCUCUACAAUAAUUAUUUGAGAAGUAGAAACGCACCAUAUUGAAAGUUAGGGCAUUGGAGGCCUGUGGUUAAAAGUUGGAAUGAUUUGUCCUAAACACCCUUAAUGAAUUGUUCUUCUCGAAAUUUCUUCUUCUUCGUAAUUAGGGGUAUAUAAGUCUAAUCGUGUGUUGAUCUCUAUACUAAUGUCCUAAACACCCUCGAUUUCGAAAUUUUUUGUUCUUAAUUGUUAGGGGUGUAUAAGUCUAAUCGUGUUUUGAGAUGAUUAGUCUUAAUUACCCUUAAUUUUUUUUUUAAUAUAGUGUAAUCGUUGGGGAUACGAAUGUCAUAAUGUCUCGACUUUAAGGAUUAUGGAAUCUUAGCUUAAAUUUAUUUGUUAAUUUUUUGGAUAAUUCUAUAUCUUAGUAGUUAAUAUUCGUUUUUGUUAGUUUUUUGAUUUAGUUUCUAAUUAAAAAAGUUAAAUUUAGCUUUAAUGAAUUUGUAUAUUAUAUUGCGAAUAUUUGUUUCGAGAAUAUUUCUAUUUUUUAAAAGUAAAAUUUUGUAGAUAAUUAUGAUGGUAAACCCUAGAUUUUCAACUAUAAAUAUAGAGUCUUGGUCAUAACAUUAGCAUUCACAUUCGUUACCCUAGGUUUUUAGUUUUUGUACUAUAUCUCACGCUUGCUAAUGAUUUCGUGAUUAAUUAUUUUGUAAUUUGUUUUAGGUUUACUGGGCAUGGGAGUUUUGAUCCUGAAUCAUGGGAGUUCGUGAUGUGUGUGAGAAGAAAUCCACCACGUAUGGGUGAUAGAAAUACCGAAAUUCAAUGAAUGAGGAGAUAAGUUUUUUUUUCCAAGUAUAAUUAGUAGUCAUGCUCAUGUUUUGAUCUCUGCUUUUUAUGUUUUUAUAUUUUAUUUUAUUUUGGAUUCAAAGUAAUAACGUGUUUGAUGAGGUGCUUCGUAGAUGGGACAAUCAAUUGUUUAAAAAUCGGCAUAUAUUAAACUCUUCUCGGCGGACAAACAUAAAGAAACCCUAAUUUUUUUUGUUUUAUAUCGAUUAACUUCCUCUCUUUCAAUUAGGUUUCCUUGACUCUUAGCAAUCCAUCGACGAUGUAUCGUCACUGGUGACACCAACUCCGUGUCAGUUUGUGACCUCCCAUGCGAUGGUUAAGGUACGCUAUUUAAUCAAUUCUAAUCUAUUGUUUUUGUUCGAUAUUAUUUUGAUAAAUCUUUUGCAAUAUCUAAAUUUCAACUAAGAUGCACGUGAAACAGAGUAAGUUAUUCUAUGCGGCUUUGAUAUUUGCACAACCGAACAAUUCGUGUUUCAAAGUUUUUUUUCCUGUGAAUUACAAGUUCUUUCUUCUUUUUUUUUUUUUGGUUUUAAUUGAUUUUGUUUAAGGGGGUUUGAUUCGUAUUUUUUUUUUUUGUUUUUGUAGUGCUUUGCAUAAUUUGAUAAGCAUGAAAUUGUUGCGAUCAGUUGUGGUUUAUUGCUUGUGUUUUUCUGUUUUGUUUGAUUUCUUUCUUAUUUUGUUUUUCUUUCGAACCCAAGAGAGAUCAUAGGCAGACACUCAAUUAUUAGUGUUUUGUUAGAAUCUUUCUUUGGCACAUUGUCCCGUCGAGUUUGGACCCAUGGCUUAUGGGAAAUUUUGACUUGAGACUGAAAACCGAUCCUUUAUCCACGGCUUAUUAUUUCGACAUAUGUACUUGGGAUUGGUUUCAGUUUACUGGUCAAAGAUCAAGUUACCCAUUGCUUAAAACAUCAUCGGUCUUUAGACAGAGACCGAGAUUCGGAAAAACCAAUUCUUUAGACAAAAGAUUGGAUUGGGUUAUGUUUGGUGGAAGGAAAAUGGUACCCACGGCUUCUAACAUUAGUCUUUAGACUGAGGCUGAUUCGAACAUUGAUCCUUCAUGGUACCCACGGCUUGAAAAUCUCUAGACAUGGAUCAUGUUCGUUUUGUUCUUUCAGUCUUUAGACAACGAAACAGUACCCACGGCUUAAACAUCACCAGUCUUUAGACCAGAGACUGAGAUUGGCUUAUGUUUGGUAGAAGGAAAAUGGUAUCCACGGCUCAAAACAUUAGUCCCCACGACUUGAAAAUCUCUAGACAUUGAUCAUGUUCGGUUUGGUUUUUCAGUUUUUAGACAAAGAAACAGUUACCCACGGCUUUAAACACCAUAAGUCUUUAGACAAAGACUUGAGAUUCGGAAAAAAAACAAUCCUUAAGAGAAAAGAUUGGAUUGGCUUAUGUUUUGGUGGAAGGAAAAUGGUACCCACGGCUUAAAACAUCAUAUGUCUUUAGAUAGAGACUUGAGAUUCGAAAAAACCAAUCCUUAAGACAAAAGAUCGGAUUGGCUUAUGUUUUGGUGGAAGGAAAAUGGUACCCACGGCUUAAAACAUCAUAUGUCUUUAGAUAGAGACUUGAGAUUCGAAAAAACCAAUCCUUAAGACAAAAGAUCGGAUUGGGUCAUGUUUGGUUGAAGGAUAAUGGUACCCAUGACUUUAAACGUUGUCUUUAGACUGAGAGUGAUUCGAACAUUGAUCCUUCUUGGUACCCACGGCUUGGAAAUCUCUAGACAUGGAUCAUGUUCGAUGUGUUGUUUCAGUCUUUAGACAAAAAUAACCCACAGAUUAAACAUUACCAGUCUUUAGACAGAGACUUGAGAUUCAGAAAACCAAUCAUUUACUCACGGCAAAGACAUUAGCAAAGAAACAGAUAAUUUUGGAUUGGGCUUCGUAUAGAUAAUUUUGUGGUGUACUUAUUUAUAUGAGAUAUUUGAUAUAUUAUUGCUAGGUUUACAUCGAUCCAAUAUAAACAUGUAGUUUCUUGUAUAUUAAUAUCUCUUAUUUUAUGAGUUUUUUUUUGGUUAGAUGACUACAAGAAGGUAGUCUCUAAUCUAAUUAUAUAUAUUUGUAUUUUAUUAAAAAUUAUUUAUAUGCCUUCCUUUUUGGCUGUUAGAAACCCUAACAUUAAUUUGGUUUCUAAAACACAUUGAAUAUCUUUUGAAGCUCGGGAAAAAUAGAGUUCUCUAAAAAACGAAAUCGAUGUCGAGAUUGCAGAGGUAUGUCUAUCUUGAUGAAAUUGUUAAAUAGAAAUUGGGCUCUUAAACAAUUCAAUCACCUUAAUUUUUUCUUACAAUCGUGAGAGGAGACUUUAGGGUUUGAUUGUUUUAGUUUUGAUUGGUGAAUUGAAAGAUGCAUCAAUCUCGACAUGUGGUUUCAAUGGUUCUUCCUUCAAUUCCGCCCACCAACAUCACUACCGAAUAUAUCCAUGGCUAGAAACGACGAAGAUGGAACCGAAUGAAUGAUUAUUGACUCAAGCACGAUCAUCAUUUAGCUCGAGGAGACUGCAUAUAAGGUAUUGAAGGAGGAGUUUACCAGUUGAUGACUAUGGGAAGUUCUAAUGGGAUGUCUAUUUUCGGAAAUGUUGAGCAGCAGAAUUUUAAUGUACUUCAUGAUACUAAGAAAGAAACAGUACUGAGUAUAGAGAGAGGGAGCAGGAAUCCAGUGGGCAGGAAGAUUCGUAGUGAUCGUUUUGCUUACCGUAAUGAUCCUUAUCGAGGAGAUUCACUUCUAAGUUUUAGUUUUCUCAUUUCUCUUCUUAAAGUCUCAAAUUUGAUAAAUUCUCAUCAAAAGGGUAUUUCAUAUAUACUAAGGAGUUCUUUAAUUGUGGAUUAGGCUAAACUAAUUUGCUUCUUUGUUGCUACAUUUAAUUCUCUCUUGCAGCCAAAGUAAUACGUGCAGCAAGCGACCUGGUCAUUUUGCUCGCAAUUGUCCUAAUGUCUCAAUCUGGCACAAUCAUGGCCUUCUUGGGUAAAACUAUUCAUAGUAUGCUUGCCUUUCUUUCCAAAUAAUCGUUAGGUCUACAUAUACGUAUCGCGCAUUUAUUUCUCAUUGGAUUGUUUAGCCAAGUAAUCUUUUGGUAUGGGUUCUACAAUGAUACCUUUUACCUCUGAUUCAUGUGAUGCUGGUUAUUUUGAUAUUGCGUCUCUUAACCCUAACAUGGGUGAGUGGUCUGUUUCGGUGAAGAUUUUGAAUUGUUGGUCUGUUUCGCGUGGCUCGGAUAGAGAGCUCAAUAUGAUUUUGGGUGACAAGCAUGUUAGUUUUUUAAUAACUUACCUUCUAUACAUGUUUUCGAUAUUAAAUUGAAUUGAUUUUUUCUUUAACAUUUAAUUUGCAGUUCACCCAAAUUCAAGCCGUUGUUCGUGAUGAAUUAAUUGAUAAUUAUUUUUCAAGAUUGAUAGUCGAUGAGUGGGUGAGCAUUAAAAAUUUUGAUGUAUCACGGGUUAACAGCAUCUUGAGACCAGUACCGCAUAGAUUCAAGAUUGUGUUUCGUUUGGACACAUUAGUGCAAAGUAUUAAUAUGUGCUCCAGUAGAACCUAUUUCAAUCUAACUGAGUUUGUGAGUAUAUUGAGUGGUAUUGUUAACCCGAAUAUUUGCGUUGGUAAGCCUAAUUUAUGUAUUUAUUUGUGCUUUUGGAGUUUAUUUACGAUUCAUGUUCUGACUGUAUUAUUCAUGUGUGUGUUUCAUAGAUGUUGUUGGCAAAGUUGUCAACGUGAGAGAGUUGGUUUUUGUUCCUUCCGUGGAACAUUCUCACGGAGGAUAUUUUGAGUUGUACUUUGGUUUACGUGAUACUGAGUAAGUCACUAUUUUUUAAAGAUUUAAACCAGAAUAUAAAGUCUUACGACUUCUUCAAAUCUUAAAAUUAGGUGUAUCCAUCUAGAGUAUAGUUUGACAGGUGACCUUGCAGUCGAGUUCUAUGACUUAUGGAAGCGUCGUUCACGUAACACAGUGAUAUGUAUUAUCAGGUUUGUGAAAUUAGAGCUAUCACAGGAACGUAGGUGGAGAUGUACCAACGUUUCAGGAUGUACGAGGAUUAUGUUGAAUCCGAAUCUCAGUAUUACCGACGAAAUGCUUUGUUGGUAAGUAUUUUUUGUUUUUUCCCCGUUUACAAUCAAAACUCUAAAGUUGGCGACUGAACAUUUACUGUUUAUGGUGUUCUAAAUUGGAUGUCAGGAAUCCUGAAAACGACCAAGUACCUAUCAUCACACGCAAGGAGAAUGCCAUGGAGUGAUGAUGUUCGUUGAUUUCUUAUUUUCUUGCAAUUUUGUUUAGAAGAUGAUUUAUUAUUAUUUUCUUAGCAUUUAUAAUUUUAUUGAAUUUUUUAAUUUCAACAUUUACCAUAUUUUAUUACACUAAAACCUAAACAAUUCACCAUAUUUUCUUACACUAGCACCUAAACAAUCCCUUAUCUCACAUGAUUUAUUAAUUUGAUUAAUAAAAACGCCCACACACGCGUAAUUAAGUUGUAGUGACAUAUUAUAUUUUCCGUUGUGAUUAAUAUAUAUUCAUAAUUUCUAGGCAUGGAGUCGAUUAAUCGAACACGUGUUAUCGCGGCAUAUGAAAACAUGAUAUCUGAUGAAUUACGUGCGUUAUUGAAUUCACGACCUCCUAAGGAUGUUUGUUGUCGUGCGAGAGCGCGCCGUGUAGCAAUACUUAAAUCAAGACGGAUAAAAGCGAGGACAAGACCACCAGAAACCGGUACGAUAGCCUUUUAUAUUAAGUUUUUAUUCUCGAAAUUGUACGUGUGAUUAACAAAUAAAAAAAUGUUAUAUAUAAGGGUUGGUGUUGCCGAUUUACGAAGAUGAUUACGUGCAUUUCCUCGCAACCGAUUCGGAUUCUGAUCAUGGUGAUAGGGAGGACCAAACAGACGACGAUAAUGCAAUGGAUUAUGAUUUUGUUGAACAUCUCGAUAACGCCGAUGAGUGUAUUAUGGAACAGGAAGGGUUUGGAUCCAUACCGAUCAUAAAUGUGAAACCUGGAUUAACAGAAAACGGUACUUACUAUGGUUGUUUUUUUUAUAAUUUUUUAAAAAAUAUAAUUGAUAUUAUUGUGUACAUGAGUGCUUCUUGUGUCAGGUUAUUUUGAUGAUGGAGAUCCGUUUUAUACCUGUCAAAAUUGCGGUGCUUAUAUGUGGUUUGGCGAGCAUAUUAACAAACGUGGAGCUAAAAAUAGGCCUAUAUUUUCUACGUGUUGCAUGAAGGGUAAAGUGGAGCUGCCUAAACUAAAAAAUCCUCCACCGGUGCUUAUGUCGAUGUUGUAUGGCAAGGAUGAGAGAAGCAAAAAUUUCCGUGCUUUAAUUAGAGCAUACAAUAUGAUGUUCUCAUUCACGUCGCUUGGUGGUCAAAUUGAUAAUUCCGUGAACCAUGGGAAUGCACCGUAUGUGUUUCGCAUGCAGGGUCAAAAUUAUCAUCGCAUCGGUGAACUUUUGCCUGGCCCUUCCAAAAGUCCUGCUUUCUCGCAGCUCUAUAUUCAUGAUACCGUAAACGAAGUCUCGAAUAGGAUGGGUGUUAUGGGGUGAGUUGUUUAUUGUAAUAUAUUUUUUAUAUUAUGUCCACGAAUUAAUUUCCGUUUUUUGUUGUUUUUAAUUGUUUUAGCGAGAAAGGACCGGGUAAGCAAAUAAAGAAGAGUAUCGUUAAGACUUUGAAGGAUAUGUUAGAUGCUAACAACCCACACGUCAUCGCGUUUAGAUCAGCUAGAGAUAGAUUAGCACAAUGUGAAGAUACCAGCGGCUUUAAGUUGAUUUUGAAAAAUCAUCGAGAUAGUGACGGUAGAGUCCAAAAUAUACCUACGACUGACGAGGUUGCUGGGCUUAUCGUGGGAGAUAUAAAUCCUAAACCGCGUGAUGUAGUGCUUCAGGCUAAUUCUGGAGGGUUUCAGCGUAUAAGUGAGCUGCACCCAUCCUACCUCCCUCUACAGUAUCCUUUGCUUUUUCCUUACGGCGAGGAUGGAUUUAGGUUAGGUAUCGACAUUGGAUUCAUCGAUAAAGGCGGUCUAAAAAGAACAAAGGUGACUUCGAUUUGGUCAAUCUCUAUAAAUUUUGACUUCGAUUUUAUUUUGCGAGAAAAUAAGGAUAAAAUUGUACAAAUUUGAUAAAGACUUUAAAAUUUUUAAAUAAUGAUGUGAAUAUUUUUAUCUCGAAAUUGUUUAAUUAAGAAAGUUAAAAUUCGUAAAUAUUGAAGAUAAUGUCUUAUGAAUCAAGGAUAUAAUCCGUCAAGGUACUAAUAUUUAAAUAAUUAUAUUAUGAUUAUAAUUUUUCCACCAUGUAUUUUAUAAUUUGAAAUAUAUUUUUGUUUUGAAUUAAAAUUAAAAAAUUAAAAUCUGUAAGGGUAGUUUCAGAAAAGGAUGAAAAUAAAAAAAGACACAAAGUUCUUUUAUUCUUAAAUAUAUUGACAUGUGAUUUUCAUCCCACAUACUAUUUUAAAAUUAUGUGUUUAUUAUAUACAUAUAGACACUUAUAUGAUUAAUUAAAGAUUUGCUCUCUAUAGUAGUAUUUAAUUAGAUAUUUUUAAAAAUUGUUCAUAUAACUUUCUCUUUGCUUUUAAAUUGUUUCAGUUUUAUUAAAUUUAGUGAUCACUAGAGGAAAAUCCGGGCGUUAAUAAUUGACAUUUUUAGAUUAAUUAACUUAAGUUUAAAUUCAAUUUUAGUUAUACAUUAAAAAGUCAUAUGAUAUUGUAUUUAGCAUUUUAAUAAAUAUAACCUAUAUGAUACUAUUAAUCUAUUCAUUCUAAUUUAUAUUUACAAAUUGAAAUUUAUUUUUUGUUUCUUAUUAUUACUUAUAUAUAUUUUUUUUCUCUUCUAUAUAGUCUCUAAUAAUCUUAAAGGAAAAUGAUCUCUUCAUAAUAGUAUGAAAUGUACCUUUUCUAAUAGUAGUUUUAAUUUUGGAGAAAUUCCAAAAGCUUUUCAAAUUUAUCUUCUUUAGUUAUGUUGUUAAGGAUUUGAAUAUGUGUAAUUUGAUAACUUGGUUUCUAAUGUUAUGAAAUCUUGAAGAAAAAUAACAAAAAUAUCAUUAUUUUUAAAUAACCAAGCAAUGGAUUAGCAAGUAAAGAACGAUGGUUCUUGUGUGAUACUACAUCAUUGACUUUGAUCGUGUUAAGAAGUCAAUAUUCAAAUUCCCUUUAAAUGUUUUGAUUAGUUUAUUUUUCACUUUAUAUGUAAAAGCUAAAACUUUUCUUUCCCAUUUUAUCAGCGGCUUAAAUUUAAAAUCACUUUCGGAAUUUUAGCAGCCAAAUUUUCAAUUACUUUCAACCUAAUUAUUUUAGUUUGUUUGAACAAAUUUGACCUAAUUAUCUCAAAGCUUGAACUGAACGUAUCCAACACAUUCGCUUCGACAUAACGACAAGAGCGGAGUAGGGAAGACAAAAUUUUGACCUCAUGAAUUUUAAAGCCUUGACAAACUUGAUAUAUGGUCAUAUUGAAAUAAACUGCAAGCAUGUAAGAAAAAAUUUAAAUCUCAGUAAUAUGAAAGUGUAUGUAAAUGGGUCAUUCUUAUUAUUUAUAAAAAAACCAUUGAAACUUUUUGAGGAAAACCACAUGCUAAAUGUUUUUUAAAGGAACAUUAUUUCAUUACACAUUUUAAUUUUCAUUGAAAUUGAUUCCAAAACUUACGAUGAAAGCCAUAUAUAAUACUAUCAAAUCCAAGUGAAAGUAUUUUAUUUUUGUUCAUCACAGUGCGUUGAAGUUUUGUCCUACACAUACACACAUCAUCUAAUCACACGUAUAGAAACAAAAUAUACAUAGAGGGAUGGAUCUUUAUGUUAGUAGAGCAAAAAUACCUCUAAAGCGUGAACUGAGGUUUUUACGCUUCAGUUUUUCUAAUCUAAGGGUUAUCUUGGGUAGUCGGCUUCGGCAAUUCGCUUCCAGGGUGCUGCGUGCGAGCAAUCGAGGAACUGAGCAAGGUAAAUGUUGGCGGAUUCAUGAUUUCGGAGGAUGAUGCUGGUCUCUUCCACGAAUUUGUAUCUACUAUUAAUUACACUUUCGUAGAGUGAACUUCUCUAGAGUGAUCCAAUGAUGUUGAUGACCACGCCAAAUUCAUCAACAUUUGAGAAGUAAUAAGUGCGAUGAAUUUUGAUUGGGUGGCUUAGGGGGAAUUCCAAAAGCUGAAGUUUGGGCGAGGGGAGUCUCUUGAGUGACCUAUUAUAUACUAUGUGUCAAUGAGAUGUGGAUAAUUGUAAGUGGUUUUUAAGAGUGAUGUGGCAUCUUGCAAAAUCUCCGCUUACGUGGCUUCCUCUAAAAUGCUUUUGAUUGUGCUGAUGUGGAUAUAUUGAGAGGCCUCAAUGAACACCUUUUAUUAGUAAGAGAUGUUGCCAGAACUAAGAGUUGAUUCGUAUUAUUAACACUGCUCAUGCCGCAUGUAUGUAAUUUAAUUUAGAUCACUUUUUAGCUUUGUUUUGAAUUAUUUUGGAAUAUGAGUUCUACAUAACGUGAGUUUAUUUUGUAAGUUUCUUUUUUUUUCUUAUAUUGUGGAGUGUGAUCAAGCUGCUUUUGGAGAAGUGAAUUAGUUCAAUAUGAUUCAUGUUUCCUAUGAUCACGAUAUUCUUCAUCACUCCAUCUACAAACUUAUAAAAAAAAACAAUUGUAAGUACACGAUUAGAUUGUUUGUGUGUGUGCUUGAUUUAGUGUUUGUAGAUAUUUGUUUUGUAAGCAAUAUUAUUUUUAAUUAAAAUUUAAAACAAGUACUAAACCCAAACUUUUUAUAUAUAUAUAUAUAUAUAAGUAUUGAUUUGUUAGGAUUUUUCGGUUUAAUUGAGAGUCAUGUUUCUGAUAUGAUUUUUGCUCUGUCUUUGUGUUAUCAUCAACCGGAAUCAGCCAUGGUGAAUUAUAUAGUAAAGCAAUACGUUGUUGCAAUAGAAGGAGAUACGACAUUGGUCGCAGUGGAGAGCAUGUAUGUUAUAGGAAAGGUCAAAAUGGCAUCGAAAACCCUAAUCGGAAGAGAAAGAAGAAGAUGGUGAUGAUAUGAAAUGUUAACAACGUUACUUGAGCACGUAGCUGGAGAUGAGGAUGAAAAGAACAUGUUCUACAUCCUUUAGUAUCUUGAAAUCUUUCUUUUGCAGGUGAUAGAGAACACAAAAGUUAUGAUUGUAUCUAUAGAGGAAUGAGAAGGAACAGAUGGAAGACUCUUACAUACCGGUAAAAGAAAGAGAGGAGAUAGCAUUAAGGGAACGCGAAUGUUUGAAUCUGAUACAUGCACUCAUUUAUUGUUGUUGUUACCCUGAGGUCGCUUCACCAAUGCUACGGUGAUCAUGCAUUGGUUUUAUCUAAAUUUUUUUCGUUUAGUUUGUAGUCAUGCAUGCCUUUGUUUAUAUGUUAACCUCAAUUUCUUAGUCCGUUAGUGGUUUUACUUGUACAAACAAGGGAAAUACCGCUGAUGUUGAAUACUUACUUCAUAUUUGAACGUGGAGGACGAUCUUGAGACCAAUGAAGAUGAAGAAGAAGAAUUAAGAAUAUUAUUGGUAUACAGAAUAGAAAAUGAGUGAAUAUUAUUGGUAUACGGAAUAGAAAAUGAGUCAAGAUCAUUAGUGAUUCAAAACUGAUCAAUUAAAUUCUGAUAUAUAAUAGUUAUUUAUAAUGGUUGGUCCAUAAUGUAUAUUUUAUUUUAAAAUUAAUAGUAAAAUUAUUUGAUAACUACAAUAUAGUUUAGUUACUUUAUAAAAAAAACCUUCACCCUACAGAAGUUACAUAAUUUUAUUAUUAAUUUCUCACUGAAUGACAAAAUAAUUUUAUAAAACCUGAUCAACAUGAUAACAAAACAAGAGAAGCAAAGUUGAUAGUUUUCGGGAGUCUGAUGAAAGAGUUCUUGAUAAGCGUAGAAAUUAUUUGUUGAACAUAAGUUUGGCUGUAACAAUGAUAACACAAAACAUGAGCAAAAUAGCGAUUUUCUGCAGCCUAAUGAAAGAGCUUUUGAUAAAUGUAGAAAUAGUUUGCUGAUUGAUGAGUUUGGCUAUAACCAUGAUAACAAAAAAAGGAGCAAAAUUGACCUUUUUUUGCAAGGUGAUGAAAGAGUUCUUGAUAAACGUAAAAAUUAUUUGUUCAUUGAUAAGUUUGCCUAUAACCAUGAUAACAAAACAAGAGAGCCAAAAUUGACGGCUUUCUACUGUCUGAUGAAAGAGAUCUUGAUAAACGUAUAAAUCAUUUGCUGAUUGAUGAGUUUGGCUAUAACAAUGAUAACGAAAAAGAAGCAAAAUUGACGGUUUUCUGCAGGCUCAUGAAAAAGUUCUUGAUAAACAUAGAAAUCAUUUGCUAAUGAUGAGUUUGGUUAUAACCACGAUGGAAAAAAGAGAGCCAAAUUGAUGAUUUUCUACAGUCUGAUGAAAGAGCUCUUGAUAAACGUAGAAAUCGUUUGCCGAUUACAGAGUUUUGCUAUAACCAUUAUAACAAAAAAAGGGGCAAAAUUGACGCUUUCUGCAGUUCGAUGAAAGAGAAAUUGAUAAACGUAGAAAUCAUUUGAUGAUUGAUGAGUUUGGCUAUAACCAUGAUAACAAAGAAAAAUGAGCAAAAGUGACGGUUUUCUACAGUGUAAUGAAAGAGCUCUUGAUAAACGUAAAAAUUAUUUGCUCAUGAUGAGGUUGGCUAUAACCAUGAUUACAAACAAGAGAGAUAAAAUUGAUGGCAAUCUGCAGUCUGAUUAAUGAUAUCUUGAUUAACGUAGAAAUCAUAUGUUGAUUGUUGAGUUUGGCUAUAACAAUGAUAACGGAAAAAAUGAGCAAAAGUGACAGUUUUCUGAAGGCUCAUGAAAAAUCUCUUGAUAAACGUAGAAACCAUUUGUUGAUGAUUAGUUUGGGUAUAUCCAAGAUAACAAAAAAAAAAAGAAAAAGCAAAAUUAACGUCUUUUCGCAGUCUGAUGAAAGAGGUCUUUGAUUAACGUAGAAAUCAUUUGCCGAUUGGAGAGUUUAACUAUACCCAUUCUAACAAAAAAGAGCAAAGUUGACGAUUUUUGGCAGUCUGAUGAAAGAGCUCUCGAUAAUCGUAAAAAUCAUUGGCUGAUUGAAGAGUUUUGCAAUAACCAUUAUAAUGGUAAAUGAGCAAAUUGAAGGUUUUCUGCAGCCUAACGAAAGAGCUCUUGAUUAACUUAGAAAUUUGUUGAUUGAUGAGUUUGGCUAUAGCCAUAAAAAAAAAUAGGAGCAAAAUUGACGGUUUUCUACUGUCUAAUGUAAGAGGUUUUAGUAAACGUAUAAAUCAUUUGCUGAUUGAAGAGUUUGGUUAUAACAAUGAUAACAAUAAAAUAGAGCAAAAUAGACAGUUUUCUCCAGGAUGAAGAAAGAGCUAUUGAUAAAUGUAGAAAUUAUUUGCCGAUAUUGAUGAGUUUGACUAUAACAAUGAUAACAAAAUAAAAGAACAAAAUUGACGGAUUCUUUCAGCCUCAUGAAGAAAUGUUGAUAAAUGUAGAAAUUAUUUUUUGAUAUAUGUGUUUGGCUAUAAUCAUUGAUUAAAAAGAACAUGAUGAGCAAAGUUGAUGGUUUUCUUCAACUUCAUGAAAAAGCUCUUGAUAAACGUAGAAAUCGUUUGUUGAUUGAUGAGUUUGGCUAUAACAAUGAUAACCAACAAACAGGAGAAAAAUAACGAUUUUCUACAUCCUCAUGCAGAAAUAAUUUGCUGAUUGAUGAGUUUGCCUAUAACCAUGAUAACAAAAAAAAGGAGCGAAAUGUACGUUUUUGCUACGUAAUGAAAGAGCUCUUGGUAAACGUAAAAAUGAUUUGUUCAUUGAUGAGUUUUGCUAUAACCAUAAUAAAAAAAAACAAGAGAGACAAAAUUGGCGACUUUCUGUAGUCCGAUGAAAGAGAUCUUGAUAAACAUAGAUAUCAUUUGUUGAUUGAUGAGUUUGGCUACAAAAAUGAUAAAGAAAAAAUAAGCUAAAGUGACAGUUUAUUACAGGUUCAAGAAAAAGCUUUUGAUAAACGUAUAAAUCUUUUGUAGAUGAUGAGUUUAGCUAUUACCAUGAUAACAAAACAAAAAAAAAAACUGACGGUUUUCUCCAGUCUAAUGAAAGAGCACUUGAUAAACGUAAAAAUAAUUUGCUGAUUGAAAAGUUUUAGCAUGAUCAUUAUAACGAAAAAUGAGCAAAAGUGAAGAUUUUUUGCAGCCUGAUGAAAGGGCUCUUGAUUCGCAGAGAAAUUAUUUGCUAAUUGAUGAGUUUGGCAAUAGCCAUGAUAACAAAAAAAAAGAAUUUUGAGGGUUUUCUGCUGUCUAAUGAAAGAGCUCUUAAUAAAAGUAGAAAACCUUUGCUGAUUGAUGAGUUUGGCUAUAACAAUGAUACCCUUAAAAGAGAGCAAAAUUGACAGUUUUCUAUAGCCUAAUAAAAGAGCUCUUGGUAAACGUAGAAAUCAUUUGCUGAAUUAUGAGUUUGGCUAUAACUUGAUAACAAAAGAAUGAGCAAAAUUGACGAUUUUUUGCAGCCUCAUGAAAAAAUUGUUAAUAAACAUAAUAAUCACUUUCUGAUUUAUGAUUUUGGCUAUAACCAUAAUUAGAAAAAAAAACAAGAGGAGCAAAGUUGACUGUUUUCUGAAGUCUGAUGAAAGAGCUCUUGAUAAGCAAGCGUAUAAAUCAUUUACUGAAGAUGAGUUUGGCUAUAACAAAGAUAACAAAAAAUGAGUAAAAUAGCGAUUUUCUGCAGCCUGAUGAAAGAGUUUUUGAUAAAUGUAUAGUUUUUGAUAAUUAUGUUGAAUAUAGAUCUCAGUAUUACCGACGAGAUGCUUUGUUGGUAGUUACUUUUUUUUUUUGUCGUCUAUAAUCGAAACUCUAAAAUUUUUGACGGAACGUUAACUGAUUAUGAUGUUAUAAACCGGGUGUCACGAAUCCUGAAAACGACGAAGUACCUAUCGUCACACGCAAAGAGAAUGCUAUGGAGGAAUGAUGACGUUCGUUGUUUUCUUAUUGUCUUGGAAAUUUUUUUUUGUAUUUUUUUAAUGAUUAUCAUCUUAUUUUUACCAUUUAUAACAUUCUCUUAUCUCUCCAAAUUGAAGAUUUUCUGCAGCCUAAUGAAAGAGCUCUUGAUUAACAUAGAAAUCAUUUGAUGAUUGAUGAGUUUGGCAAUAGACAUGAUAACAAAAAAAGAAGAGUAAAAUUGACAGUUUUCUGCUGUCUAAUGAAAUAGCUCUUGAUAAACGUAUAAAACAUUUACUGAUUGAUGAGUUUGGCUAUAACAUUGAUAAAAAAAAGAGCAAAAUAGACAGUUUUCUGCUGCCUAAAGAAAGAGGUUUUGAGAAACGUAGAAAUCAUUUGUUGAUUGAUGAGUUUGGUUAUAACAAUGAUAACGAGUUUGGUUAUAACAAUGAUAACAAUAAAAGAGAGCAAAAUCGACAGUUUUCUGCAGUCUGAUGAAAGAGCUAUUGAUAAAUGCAGAAAGUGUUUGCUGAUUGAUGAGUUUUUCUAUAAUAAUAAUAACAAAAUAAAAUAAACAAAAUUGACGGUUUCUUUCAGUCUCAUGAAGAAAUAUUGAUAAACGUAGAAAUUAUUUUCUGAUAUAUGUGUUUGGCUAUAAUCAUGAUUAUAAAGAAUAAGAUGAGCAAAGUUGACGGUUUUCUUCAACUUCAUGAAAAAGCUCUUGAUAAACGUAGAAAUCGUUUGUUGAUUGAUGAGUUUGACUAUAACAAUGUUAACGAAAAAACAGGAGAAAAAUAACGAAUUUCUGCGUCAUGAUGAAAGAGCUUUCGAUAAGUGUAGAAAUAUUUUGCUGAUUGAUGAGUUUGGUUAUAACCAUGGUAACAAAAAAAAGAGAGCGAAAUUGACAUUUUUUCAACGUAAUGAAAAAGCUCUUGGUAAACGUAAAAAUUAUCUGUUCAUUAAUGAGUUUGGCUGUAACCAUUAAAAAUAAAACAAGAGAGACAACAUUGACGAUUUUCUUUAGUCGAUGAAAGAGAUCUUGAUAAACGUAGAUAUCAUUUGUUGAUUGCUGAAUUUGGCUACAACAAUGAUAAAGAAAAAAAUGAGCAAAAGUGACAAUUUUCUGCAGGUUCCUGAAAAAGUUUAUGAUAAAUGUAUAAAUCUUUUGCAGAUGAUAAGUUUGGCUAUUAAUAUGAUAACAAAAAAAAAAAUUGACGGUUUUCUGCAGUCUAAUGAAAGAGCUCUUGAUAAACGUAGAAAUCGUUUGCAGAUUAAAGAGUUUUGCUAUAACCAUUAUAACGGAAAAAGGGGCAUAAUUGAUGGUUUCUGCAAUCCGGUGAAAAAGAUCUUAAUACACGUAGAAAUAAUUUGUUGAAUGAUGAGUUUGGCUAUAACCAUGAUAAUAAAAAAGGAGCAAAAGUGACUGUUUUUUGCAACGUAAUGAAAGAGGUCUUGAUAAACGUAAAAAUUAUUUGCUCAUUAAUGAAUUUGGCUAUAACAAUGAUUACAAACAAGAGAGAUAAAAUUUACGUCUUUAUGCAAUCCGAUUAAUGAUAUCUUGAUUAACGUAACAUAGAAAUCAUAUGCUGAUUGAUAAGUUUGGAUAACAAUGAUAACAGUUUGACAAAAAAAAAAAAAAAAAAAAAAGGAUAACAAUGAUAAAAAAAAAUGAGCAAAAUUGACAGUUUUUUGCAGGCUCAUGAAAAAGCUCUUGCUAAACGUAGAAAUCAUUUGUUGAUGAUGAGUUUGGCUAUAUCCAUGAUAACAAAAAAAAAAAAAAGCAAAACUGACAGCUUUCCGCAGUUUGAUGAAAGAGAUCUUUGAUAAACAUAAAAAUCAUUUACCGAAAGAAGAGUUUAGCUAUAACCAUUCUAACAGCAAAAGAGCAAAGUUGACGAUUUUUAGCAGUCUGAUGAAAGAGAUCUCGAUAAAUGUAAAAAUCAUUGACUGAUUGAAGAGUUUUGCAAUAACCAUUAUAACGGUAAAUGAACAAAAUAGAAGGUUUUCUGCAGCCUAACGAAAGAGCUCUUGAUUAACUUAGAAAUUUACUGAUUGAUGAGUUUCGCUGUAGCCAUACAAAAAAAAAAAAUAGGAGCAAAGUUGACGAUUUUCUACUGUCUAAUAUAAGAGGUUUUGGUAAACGUAUAAAUCAUUUGCUGAUUGAUGAGUUUGGUUACAAUGAUAACAAUAAAAGUGAGCAAAAUAGACAGUUUUCUGCAGCCUGAUGAAAUAGAUAUUGAUAAAUGUAGAAAUCAUUUGUCGAUUGAUUAGUUUGACUAUAACAAUGAUAACAAAAUAAAAGAAUAUAAUUGACGGUUUAUUUCAGCCUCAUGAAGAAAUGUUGAUAAAAGUAGAAAUUAUUUUCUGAUUUAUGUGUUUGGCUAUAAUCAUGAUUAAAAAGAACAAGAUGAGCAAAGUUGACUGUUUUUUUCAACUUCAUGAAAAAGCUCUUGAUAAACGUAGAAAUCGUGUGUUGAUUGAUGAGUUUGGCUAUAACAAUGAUAAGCAAUUAAACAGGAGAAAAUAACGAAUUUCUGCGUCCUGAUGAAAGAGCUUUCGAUAAAUGUAGAAAUAAUUUGCUAAUUGAUGAGUUUGACUAUAACAAUGAUAACAAAAAAAUAGCGAAAUUGACGUUUUUUGCAACGUAAUGAAUGAGCUCUUGGUAAACGUAAUAAUUAUUUGUUCAUUGAUGAGUUUGGCUAUAACCAUAAUAAAAAAAAACAAGAGAGACAAAAUUGACGACUUUCUGUAGUCGAUGAAAGAGAUCUUGAUAAACGUAGAUAUCAUUUGUUGAUUGAUGAAUUUGGUUACAACAAUAAUAAUGAAAAAAAUGAGCAAAAGUGACAGUUUUCUCGAGGUUCAUGAAAAAGCUUUUGAUAAAUGUAUAAAUCUUUUGCAGAUGAUGAAUUUGGCUAUUACCAUGAUAACAAAAAAAAAAAAUAGACAGUUUUCUGUAGUCUAAUGAAAGAGCUCUUGAUAAACGUAGAAAUCGUUUGCAGAUUAAAGAGCUUUGUUAUAACCAUUAUAACGGAAAAAUGGGCAUAAUUGAUGGUUUCUGCAAUCCGAUCAAAGAGAUCUUAAUAAAUAUAAAUUUUUUUUGCUGAUUGAUGAGUUUGGCUAACCAUGAUAAUAAAAAAAAAAGGAACAAAGUGACGGUUUUUUGUAACGUAAUGAAAGAGGUCUUGAUAAACGUAAAAAUUAUUUGCUCAUUAAUGAGUUUAGCUAUAACCAUGAUUACAAACAAGAGAGAUAAAAUUAACCGGCCUUCUGAAGUCCGAUUAAUGAUAUCUUGAUUAACGUACAAAUCAUAUGUUGAUUUAUGAGUUUGGCUAUAUAAUGAUAACAAAAAAAAUGAGCAAAAUUGACAGUUUUAUGCGAGCUCAUGAAAAACUCUUGAUAAACGUAGAAAUCAUUUAUUGAUGAUGAUUUUGGCUAUAUCCAUGAUUAAAAAAAAGCAAAAUUAACGGCUUUUCGCAGUCUGAUGAAAGAGAUCUUUGAUAAUCGUAAAAAUCAUUUGAUGAUUGAAGAGUUUAGCUAUAACCAUUUUAACAAAAAAAGAGCAAAGUUGACGAUAUUUGACAGUCUGAUGAAAGAGCUCUCGAUAAACGUAAAAAUUAUUGGCUGAUUGAAGAGUUUUACAAUAACCAUUAUAACGGUAAAUUAGCAAACUCAAAAGUUUUCUGCAGCCUAACAAAAAAGCUAUUGAUUAACUUAAAAGUUUUCUGGUUGAUGGUUUGGCUAUAGCCAUCAAAAAAAAUUGGAGCAAAAUUGACGGUUUUCUACUGUCUAAUGUAAGAGGUUUGGGUAAACGUAUAAAUUAUUUGCUGAUUGAUGAGUUUGGUUAUAACAAUGAUAACAAUAAAAGAGAGCAAAAUAGACAGUUUUCUACAGCUUUAUGAAAGAGUUAUUGAUAAAUAUAGAAAUCAUUUGCCGAUUGAUGAGUCUGACUAUAACAAUGAUAACUAAAUAAGAGAACAAAAUUGACGGUUUCUUUCAGCCUCAUGAAGAAAUGUUGAUAAGCAUAAAAAUUAUUUUUCGAUAUAUGUGUUUGGCUAUAAUCAUGAUUAAAAAUAACAAGAUGAGCAAAAUUGACGGUUUUCUUAAGCUUCAUGAAAAAGCUCUUGAUAAACGUAGAAAUUGUUUGUUGAUUGAUGAGUUUAGCUAUAACAUUGAUAACCAAAAAAACAUGAGAAAAAUAACGAUUUUUUAUGUCCUGAUGAAAGAGCUUUCAAUAAAUGUAGAAAUAAUUUGCUGAUAGAUGACUUUUGCUAUAACCAUGAUAACAAAAAAAAGUUAGCAAAAUAGACGUUUUUUCAACGUAAUGAAAGAGCUCUUGGUAAACGUAAUAAUUAUUUGUUCAUUGAUGAGUUUGGCUAUAACCAUAAUAAAAAAAAAACAAGAGAGACAAAAUUGACGACUUUCUAUAGUCGAUGGAAGAGAUCUUGAUAAACGUAGAUAUCAUUUGUUGAUUGAUGAGUUUGGUUACAACAAUGAUAAAGAAAAAAAUGAGCAAAAGUGACAGUUUUCUCCAGGUUCAUGAAAAAGCUUUUGAUAAAUGUAUAAAUCUUUUGCAGAUGAUGAGUUUGGCUAUUACCAUGAUAACAAAAAAAAAUAGACAGUUUUCUGUAGUCUAAUGAAAGAGCUCUUGGUAAACGUAGAAAUCGUUUGCAGAUUAAAGAGCUUUGUUAUAACCAUUAUAACGGAAAAAUGGGCAUAAUUGAUGGUUUCUUCAAUCCGAUCAAAGAGAUCUUAAUAAAUGUAGAAAUUUUUUGCUGAUUGAUGAGUUUGGCUAACCAUGAUAAUAAAAAAAAAGGAACAAAGUGAUGGUUUUUUGUAACGUAAUGAAAGAGGUCUUGAUAAACGUAAAAAUUAUUUGCUCAUUAAUGAGUUUAGCUAUAACCAUGAUUACAAACAAGAGAGAUAAAAUUAACAGGCCUUCUGAAGUCCGAUUAAUGAUAUCUUGAUUAACGUACAAAUCAUAUGUUGAUUGAUGAGUUUGGCUAUAAAAAUGAUAACAAAAAAAAUGAGCAAAAUUGACAGUUUUAUGCGAGCUCAUGAAAAAACUCUUGAUAAACGUAGAAGUCAUUUAUUGAUGAUGAUUUUGGCUAUAUCCAUGAUUAAAAAAAAAGCAAAAUUAACGGCUUUUCGCAGUCUGAUGAAAGAGAUCUUUGAUAAUCGUAAAAAUCAUUUGAUGAUUGAAGAGUUUAGCUAUAACCAUUUUAACAAAAAAAAAAGAGCAAGGUUGACGAUAUUUGACAGUCUGAUGAAAGAGCUCUCGAUAAACCUAAAAAUUAUUGGCUGAUUGAAGAGUUUUACAAUAACCAUUAUAACGGUAAAUUAGCAAACUCAAAAGUUUUCUGCAGCCUAACAAAAGAGCUAUUGAUUAACUUAGAAGUUUGCUGGUUGAUGGUUUGGCUAUAGCCAUAAAAAAAAAUUGGAGCAAAAUUGACGGUUUUCUACUGUCUAAUGUAAGAGGUUUUGGUAAACGUAUAAAUUAUUUGCUGAUUGAUGAGUUUGGUUAUAACAAUGAUUACAAUAAAAGAGAGCAAAAUAGACAGUUAUCUACAGCCUUAUGAAAGAGUUAUUGAUAAAUUUAGAAAUCAUUUGCCGAUUGAUGAGUCUGACUAUAACCAUGAUAACUAAAUAAGAGAACAAAAUUGACGGUUUCUUUCAGCCUCAUGAAGAAAUGUUGAUAAGCAUAAAAAUUAUUUUCCGAUAUAUGUGUUUGGCUAUAAUCAUGAUUAAAAAUAACAAGAUGAGCAAAAUUGACGGUUUUCUUAAGCUUCAUGAAAAAGCUCUUGAUAAACGUAGAAAUUGUUUGUCGAUUGAUGAGUUUAGCUAUAACAUUGAUAAUCAAAAAAACAGGAGAAAAAUAACGAUUUUUUAUGUCCUGAUGAAAUAGCUUUAAAUAAAUGUAGAAAUAAUUUGCUGAUUGAUGACUUUUGCUAUAACCAUGAUAACAAAAAAAAGAUAGCAAAAUAGACGUUUUUUUCAACGUAAUGAAAGAGCUCUUGGUAAACGUAAUAAUUAUUUGUUCAUUGAUGAGUUUGGCUAUAACCAUAAUAAAAAAAAACAAGAGAGACAAAAUUGACGACUUUCUAUAGUCGAUGGAAGAGAUCUUGAUAAACGUAGAUAUCAUUUGUUGAUUGAUGAGUUUGGUUACAACAAUGAUAAAGAAAAAAAUGAGCAAAAGUGACAGUUUUCUCCAGGUUCAUGAAAAAGCUUUUGAUAAAUGUAUAAAUCUUUUGCAGAUGAUGAGUUUGGCUAUUACCAUGAUAACAAAAAAAAAAAUAGACAGUUUUCUGUAGUCUAAUGAAAGAGCUCUUGGUAAACGUAGAAAUCGUUUGCAGAUUAAAGAGCUUUGUUAUAACCAUUAUAACGGAAAAAUGGGCAUAAUUGAUGGUUUCUGCAAUCCGAUCAAAGAGAUCUUAAUAAAUGUAGAAAUUUUUUGCUGAUUGAUGAGUUUGGCUAACCAUGAUAAAAAAAAAAAAAAAGGAACAAAGUGACGGUUUUUUGUAACGUAAUGUAAGAGGUCUUGAUAAACGUAAAAAUUAUUUGCUCAUUAAUGAGUUUAGCUAUAAUCAUGAUUACAAGCAAGAGAGAUAAAAUUAACCGGCCUUCUGAAGUCCGAUUAAUGAUAUCUUGAUUAAUGUACAAAUCAUAUGUUGAUUGAUGAGUUUGGCUAUAAAAAUGAUAACAAAAAAAAUGAGCAAAAUUGACAGUUUUAUGCGAGCUCAUGAAAAAACUCUUGAUAAACGUAGAAAUCAUUUAUUGAUGAUGAUUUUGGCUAUAUCCAUGAUUAAAAAAAAAAGCAUGAAAGUUUUCUGCAGCCUAACGAAAGAGCUAUUGAUUAACUUAGAAAUUUGCUGGUUGAUGGUUUUGCUAUAGCCAUAAAAAAAAUAUGAGCAAAAUUGACGGUUUUCUACUGUCUAAUGUAAGAGGUUUUGGUAAACGUAUAAAUUAUUUGCUGAUUGAUGAGUUUGGUUAUAACAAUGAUAACAAUAAAAGAGAGCAAAAUAGACAGUUUUCUACGGCCUGAUGAAAGAGCUAUUGAUAAAUGUAGAAAUUAUUUGCCGAUUGAUGAGUUUGGCUAUAACAAUGAUAACCAAAAAACAGGAGAAAAAUAACGAUUUUUUACGUCCUGAUGAAAGAGUUUUCAAUAAAUGUAAAAAUAAUUUGCUGAUUGAUGACUUUGGCUAUAAUCAUGAUAACAAAAAAAAGGAGCGAAAUUGAUGUUUUUUGUAACGUAAUGAAAGAGCUCUUGGUAAAUAUAAAAAUGAUUUGUUCAUUGAUGCUUUUGGCUAUAACCAUAAUAAAAAACAAGAGAGACAAAUCGACAACUUUCUGUAGUCCGAUGAAUGACAUCUUGAUAAACCUAGAUAUCAUUUGUUGAUUGAUGGGUUUGGUUACAACAAUGAUAAAAAAAAAAUGAGCAAAAGUGAUAGUUUUCUGCAGGUUCAUGAAAAAGCUUUUGAUAAACGUAUAAAUCUUUUGCAGAUGAUGAGUUUGGCUAUUACCAUGAUAACAAAAAAAAAAAAAAAUUGACGGUUUUCUGCAGUCUAAUGAAAGAGCUUUUGGUAAACGUAAAAAUAAUUUGCUGAUUAAAAAGUUUUAGUAUGACUUUUAUAACGAAAAAUGAUCAAAAUCGAAGAUUUUUUGCAGCCUGAUGUUAAAGUUAUUGAUUCGCAGAGAAAUCAUUUGCUAAUUGAUGAGUUUGUGGCAAUAGCCAUGAUAACAAAAAAAAAAAAUUGACGGUUUUCUUCUGGCUAUAACAAUUGUAACAAUAAAAAAGAACAAAAUAGAUACUUUUCUAUAACCUACUGAAAGAGUUCUUGAUAAAUGUAGAAAUUAUUUGUUGAUUUAUGUGUUUGGCUAUAACCAUGAUAACAAAAAAAUGAGCAAAAUUGACGGUUUUUUGGAGCCAUAUGAAAGAAUUGUUAUUAAACAUAAUAAUCACUUUCUGAUUUAUGAUUUUGGCUAUAACUAUAAUUAGAAAAAAAAAACAAAAGGAGCAAAGUUGAUGGUAAUCUGAAGUCUGAUGAAAGAAUUCUUGAUAAGCGUAUAAAUCAUUUACUGAAGAUGAGUUUGGCUAUAACAAAGAUAACAAAAAAACAUGAGUAAAAUAACGAUUUUCUGGAGUCUAAUGAAAGAGCUUUUGAUAAAUGUAGAAAUCAUUUGUUGAUUGAUGAGUUUUUGAUAAUUAUGUUGAAUCCGGAUCUCAGUAUUACCAAUGAGAUGCUUUGUUGGUAAUUACUUUUUUAUUUUUUUUGUCGUCCACAAUCAAAACUCUAAAAUUUUCGACGGAACGUUAACUGAUUCUGAUGUUAUAAACCGGGUGUCAGGAAUCCUGAAAACGACGAAGUACCUAUCGUCACAUGCAAAGAGAAUGCUAUAAAAUGAUGACGUUCGUUGUUUUCUUAUUGCCUUGAAAUUUUUGUUUUUUGUUUUUUUUUUUAUGAUUGGCAUCUUAUUUUCUUACCAUUUAUAAUAUUCUUUUAUCUCUCAUGAUUUUACCGUUUAUGCACGAUAACUUACACCAUUUGUAUAUAUAUUAUUACUAUGGUGUUGAUAAUAGAGUGAUAUAUUUUUAUCCUUAAAUUUCGUUAGUAUAUAUUUCAGUUUAACUGUUGAGAUUUAGUUUUUUUUUUUCUAAACUUAAUUUAUUAAUCUUAUGGAUAAAUUCUAUAUCGUUUAAUCAAUAUUCGUUUUUGUUAAUUUUCUGAUUUAGUUUUUAAUAUAUAUUUUCCAUUGUUAUGUUCUUUCCAAAUAAUCGUUAGGUCUACAUAUACGUAUCGCGCGUUUAUACCUCAUUGGAUUGUUUAGCCGAGUAAUCUUUUGAUAUGGGUUCUACAAUGAUACCUUUUACCUCUGAUUCAUGUGAUGGUGGUUAUUUUCAUAUUGCGUCUCUUAACCCUAACAUGGGUGAGUGGUCUGUUUUGGUGAAGAUUUGAAUUGUUGGUCUAUUUCGCGUGACUCGGGUAGAGAGCUCAAUAUGAUUUUGGGUGACGAGCAUGUUAGUAUUUUAAUAACUUACCUUCUAUACAUGUUUUCGAUAUUAAAUUGAAUUGUUUUUUUCUUUAACAUUUCAUUUGCAGUUCACCCAAAUUUAAGCCGUUGUUCGUGAUGAAUUAAUUGAUAAUUAUUUUUCAAGAUUGAUAAUCGAUGAGUGGGUGAGCAUUAAAUUUUUUGAUGUAUCCCGGGUUAACAGCAUCUUGAGACCAGUACCGCAUAGAUUCAAGAUUGUGUUUCGUUCGGACACUUUAGUGCAAAGUAUUAAUAUGUGCUCCAGUAGAACCUAUUUCAAUCUAACUGAGUUUGUGAGUAUAUUGAGUGGUAUUGUUAACCCGAAUAUUUGCGUUAGUAAGCCUAAUUUAUGAAUUUAUUUGUGCUUUUGGAGUUUAUUUGCGAUUCAUGUUCUGACUGUAUUAUUCAUGUGUGUGUUUCAUAGAUGUUAUUGGCAAAAUUCUCAACGUGAGAGAGUUGGUUUUUGUUCCUUCCGUGGAACAUUCUCAAGGAGGAUAUUUUGAGCUGUGCUUUGGUUUACGUGAUACUGAGUAAGUCACUAUUCUUUUAAAGAUUUAAACCAGAAUAUAAUGUCUUAUGACUUCUUCAAAUCUUAAAAUUAGGUGUAUCCAUCUAGAGUGUCGUUUAACGGGUGACCUUGCAGUCGAGUUCUAUGACUUAUGGAAGCAUCGUUCACGUAACACAGUGAUAUGUAUUAUCAAGUUUGUGAAAUUAGAGCUAUCACAGGAACAUAGGUGGAGAUGUACCAAUGUUACCGGAAGUACGAGGAUUAUGUUGAAUCCGGAUCUCAGUAUUACCGACGAGAUGCUUUGUUGGUAAGUAUUUUUUUUUUCCGUUUACAAUCAAAACUCUAAAGUUGGCGACUGGACAUUCACUGUUUAUGGUGUUCUUAAUCGGAUGUCAGGAAUCCUGAAAAUGACCAAGUACCGAUCAUCACACGGAAGGAGAAUGCCAUGGAGUGAUGAUGUUCGUUGAUUUCUUAUUUUGUUGGUGAAUGAUUUUAAAAGAUGAUUUAUUAUUAUUUUUUAGCAUUUAUAAUAUUAUUGAAUUUUUUAAAUUUCAUCAUUUUCCAUAAUUUUAUCACACUAAAUCCUAAACAAUUUACCAUAUUUUUCUUACACUACCAAGUAACACCUAAACAAUCCCUUAUUUCACAUGAUUUUACCAUUUAUACAGCAUUCUUCCCGCGCAUGCGCGCGGGCAAUCACCUAGUUAACCAAACUUGGGUUAUAUUCUCGAUAACAAAUCAACUACUACAUUUUAUUUUUCGGUGCACCCAAUUAAAUCUUGUUGUUUGAAAAAAAAAAAUUGUCAUCUUUUAUGGGAAAUGUAAUUCAAAAGUCAUAACUUAGAUAACAAAAAACAAAAAACAAAUAAUUUGAGACAUAUAUAACUUACUCAGUUACUUUGAGAUGAAAAUUAGGAUAGAUGCAAAGUGAGAGAGUCGAAUCCCUAGUUUGAGAUCAAUGAAGUUUUUGACUUGUGAUUUGAUUUGUGAGAGAGAUAAUGACCUUAUAUAAGAAAAUUUAAACAAUUUUUAAUUAGGAUAAUUUCUAUUUUUUCUUCUAAAAAAGGAUUAUUUCUAUAUUACUUAUAUUUACCUUAUAAAGUUAUAAGGUAAUCUACAUUAUAUUUACCUCGCUCAUAUAUCCCGCAAUUAAUCUACAUUAAAUUCAAUCAUAUAACUCAUUUCUUAAACGAGCUUUAAAAAAUCGAGUUCUCGCUCAUAAGAAAGCGAGCUGAGCUGACGGCUUAUUUUGACACCCCCUAAUUUUGACAUAGUUCAUCUUCUAAACUCUUUUGGAAGUACAAAUGUAAGUCGAUACUAACCUUUCUUUUUCGAUUUGAAGAACUGAAUGAUUGAUGAGAACUUUGACCAACAUGGACUUCAUCGUCUUGCAUAUCAAGAUCCACAACGAUUAUUUUCUUCAGUUUCUCUUCGUUUUCUUUCAAUGAUUUUCUCAUGGAAUGUUGAACCUUGGAAGAAACCUUUUGGCCAUUAUAAAACUAAUUAAUGCAAUUGUCAUUGUUCCAUAAAUCAUCUCUUGAUAAUUGCUAUACACAAUUGGUCAUAUAUUGUAUAUUGUGGUUAAUCUUCUAAACUCUUUCUUAAGUACAAAUGUAAGUCGAUCCAUACUAACCUUUCUUUUUCGACUUGAAGAACUGCAAGAUUGAUGAGAACUUUGACCAACCUUUACUUCAUCGUCUUGCAUAUCAAGAUCCACAAUGAUUAUUUUCUUCGAUUUCUCUUCGUUUUCUUCCAAUGAUUUUCUCAUCGAAUGUUGAACCUUGGAAGAAACCUUUUGGCAUGCACUUCUGUUAGUCAAUCCAGCCAAGUGAUGUUUCAUUCUAUUUAUUUCACUUCCAACAUAUUGUUUACCACAAAAGUCACAAGCUAUAACUUUUUUCCCUCUUGAAUCAAUAGUUUCAUUAACAUAGUUCCACGCCAAAUCUUGUUUCUGAUGACGUGUGGAACGUUGCACAGAUUUCUCUUGCUUUAUAUUGCUUGCAUUUGGUGAAAAAGCUUUUUCCUUAUGAAUAUUCUCCAUUGAUGAGUAAACUACAAAAAGUAAAAAUGUCUGCACUGUUAAAUAUAUGUUCACGAUCACCAAUAGAAAUGUAUAUACUCUUAUAUACAAGGAUUGUCUUAAACGAACCACUCAAAGUUAUAUUUUCGGUUGGAUAUAUCAACGAUAAGAAGACUAGGCCAAACAACGACAAACGCACAAGGAUUGGAAGAAACUCGACACAAUUAAGAUAUGAAGUUGGAAGAUGUCAGUGAGAGUUAUUUUAACCGGGCCUUGUGGCCUAGUGGUAAAGGGGUCACAGCUGUGACUUCCGCCACCAGGGUUCGAGGCACGGCCACUGGCAGGUUUACAUAGGGGAAUUGCCAGCCUCGUGAGAUUAGUCUUUGGGCCUAGGAAGCCUUUGGGAGACUCGCGGUUAUUCAAAAAAAAAAAAAAAAGUUAUUUAUCAUUUCAGGAUUAAAAAAGCAUACGAAAUUGACGAAUAACGAAUUAAUGAAUGGUGAUAACUAUUUAAUUAUGGCAAAUUCAAUUAUGAUCCAUUAACACGUGAAGUGAAGAAGAUGACAAGAUAGAUUUGGUGAAGACAAAGACAUGAUUAUACCACGAAAGUGAGUUUGGUCGUCGUCUUUAUACGGGUUCUGAAAUAGAAGAACACAAGUUGACUCUACGUUGAACUGACCCGAUCUCACGGGUUAAAAGCUUGACUCUGCCUUGAAUCUAAGAGUCACUCUCUUUUUUUUUUUUUUUUUUUUUUGUCAACAUUUGGGCCACAACUAACCGGCCCAUUAGCCUAAUUUCUACAAUUAAAUUGUAGAGUCGGGGACUCGAUCCCUGGUGUGAUGGUGUCUGUCUUCUGUGGACUUAUCAUUUGCCACUAGACCAAGAUCACUUCACUAAGAGUCACUCUCUUUUUUUUUUUCUUCUUUUUUUUUUUUUUUUUUUUUUUUUUUUUUUUUUGGACAAAAAAUCUAAGAGUCACUCAAACCCAAGAAUUAUGGAGAAAUCUCAGAGAAAAAAACUGAAAACGUUUUAGGAACCCUAAUCAAUUUUUAAUCUUUUCAUUUUUAUAUAAGGAAUAGUUGAAAACACAAUAAUAAUAAAAUCUUAACAAAAUCAGAGAGAGACAAAAUCUUCCAUAUCUCUAUUUUACAACCUAUACAUAAAUAUUCAUUUUUGAUAUAGUGAUACUGUAUACUAAUGUAUAAUCGUGUCGAGAAUUAAAUUAGUCUUUUACGAAUUAUAUAUCGGACGACGGACAUAAUGACAUAUAAUAAAAUAUUGAAUAGUCUCCGACGGUCCAAAAAUACUCGUAAACAAAAAAAAGCAAAAAGAAAAAAGAGAAGAUGGAAUGAUCUUCUUCGACGAAAGGGGAAGAGGUUGAAUUCAAAAUCUCUCUCUCUUCUUCUCUGUCUCUUCUCGCGUGAGAGAAGCGUAGAUUUUUCCAGAUCUCAUCAUUGAAUUCAAAACUCAAAGCUAGAGAUAGAGAUAGAGAGGGAGAGAAUCGAUUCGGAGAAGAAGAAGAAGACGAGACGGAGCUGAAAGAAUGAUUACGAUCCCAUACCUUACCGCUGUAUCAACGUAUUUCAGCUACGGUUUGCUCUUCGCCUUUGGUCAGCUUCGCGAUUACUCCCGCCUAAUCUUCGGUUGGUGGCGCACCAACAAUCUCCAGGUUAAUUUCUCGAUUGGUAAGCGCUUGUGGCGUGUUGAGACUCUUCUUAACGUUUUCGCUUUUCGUUUAGGGAUACGCGCCGAUCUGCUUGGCGCAUGAGGAUUUCUACAUCAGACGAUUGUAUCAUCGGAUUCAGGUACCUCUCUAUUCUUUUCCCCUGCGUUUGUUUAGCAUCAUGUUCAAUCUCUGCAUUUGGUGGCUUAUGUUUUUUUUGUUUGGGUGGUGGUGGGAGGUAUAAGUCUUUGAACAAGUAAUUGUGCAUACACUAGGAAUUAGGAAAUGUUUCUUUGGUGGAAUCUUUGUUUCAGUGGUUUAGUGUUUGAUUCUUAAAUAUAUAUUUGUGUCAAGGACUGUUUUGGACGUCCCAUAUCAAGUGCACCUGAUGCCUGGAUUGAUGUGGUUGAGAGAGUUUCUGACGAUAACAACAAGACGCUAAAGUGAGUCUGUCAUCCUCUGUUUUUUUUCUAUUGAACAGUUUUUGUUUCUAUGGUCACAUUAAGAGAAUAUGAUACCAAAUGUAUGUCGAAGAAUAAACCUUCGGUUGCAACUCUGUGCAGGCGAACUACAAAGACUAGUAGGUGCCUUAAUCUGGGGUCCUACAAUUAUCUUGGAUUUGGUUCUUUUGAUGAAUAUUGUACGCCUCGUGUUAUUGAGUCUUUGAAGAAAUUUUCAGCUACUACAUGUAGCUCUCGCGUUGAUGCAGGUACAGUGUUGUCUUUCUGUAUUAGGUCUCGAACAAUCUCUUUCUCUUUGUUGUUGCCUGACAUUUGUUCUAUCUCCCACCAGGAACUACAUCUGUGCAUGCAGAACUUGAGGAAUGUGUUGCUAAAUAUGUCGGACAACCUGCUGCUGUUGUCUUUGGCAUGGGCUACGCAACAAACUCGGCUAUUAUUCCUGUCUUGAUUGGAAAGGUAAGUGUAUACUGCUAUAUCAUGUGAUGAACACUUUUGUUACUCCCAAAACCUAUGUUUUUGUAGCUUACUAUUUGCCUCCAUCUAUACAGGGAGGGUUGAUAAUAAGCGAUUCUUUGAACCAUACUUCAAUUGUCAACGGCGCUCGAGGUUCAGGAGCUACUAUCCGUGUUUUCCAACACAACAGUAAGCAUUUCUUAUGCUUCACUUUCCAUAUCUUUUGCAAAUUAAGUGGGUGUCAUGUCAUCUUUAUGCUCUCUUGUUAAAUUCUUCGCAGCACCUGCUCAUUUGGAAAAAGUAUUGAAAGAACAAAUCGCUGAGGGACAACCCAGGACGCAUAGACCGUGGAAGAAAAUUAUUGUUGUUGUUGAGGGUAUUUACAGCAUGGAAGGGGAAAUUUGUCAUCUGCCCGAGAUUGUCUCAAUAUGCAAGAAGUAUAAGGUGAGGUAACAUGGUAAACCAUCUUUCAUGUUCAACAUUGAUGAGAGAUUAAGGAGCUCGGUCAACUGAAUUAUCAUUUGCAACAUCAAAAUUGUCUAGACUAAUUUGGUUGUCUGAUGUGUACCUUAUUUUCUUGCAUAUCAUUUGUUCAGGCAUAUGUUUACUUGGACGAAGCUCACAGCAUUGGAGCAAUUGGCAAGACAGGAAGGGGUGUUUGUGAACUUCUGGGGGUUGACACUGCUGAUGUGGACAUAAUGAUGGGAACUUUCACGAAAUCUUUUGGGUCUUGUGGUGGCUAUAUUGCCGGAUCAAAGGUUAGCAAUUAGAUACUUUUGUUCAUUUACUGUUCUUUUGUUUGCACAUUUUCUUGGUUUAUUUAGUUUUGGUAUAUCAAAUUUAGACCUUUCAGAAAAACUUAGAACUAGAAAACCAAAUUACUAAAUCAUAAGAGAUCUUUCAGAAUUGCAUAAGAAAGUUACGACCAUUAGCAAAGAUGAGUAAAGAGCUGAUACACUAAGGCGUAACUGUAUUUACACAAUAGUCAUUGUGAUUGUUUAUGCUAGUACACUUCAUCUCAAAAUCAACCAAAGGCGUUAUAGCAUAUUGUGUUUCAUUUUUGGUAGGACCUCAUCCAAUAUUUGAAGCACCAAUGCCCGGCUCACCUUUACGCAACGUCAAUUUCAACUCCUUCCGCGACACAAAUCAUAUCGGCGAUAAAGGUUAUCCUUGGAGAGGACGGUUCAAACAGAGGUAUCUCUAUAGUUUAUUUUGCUCUAUGAGCUGUGACAUAUCGCCCUUUGAGCUUCGUAAUCUCAAGUUAUAGUCUCAAACUUUUCUAAAAACCUGUGGCAGGGGCACAAAAGUUAGCAAGAAUAAGGGAGAACAGCAACUUUUUCAGGGCUGAGUUGCAGAAGAUGGGGUUUGAGGUUCUUGGAGACAAUGAUUCCCCAGUCAUGCCAAUAAUGCUUUACAAUCCAGCAAAAAUUCCAGCCUUCUCAAGGGAAUGUUUGCGAGAAAAAGUAAGUUUCUCUUUCUUUUUUAUGCAAUAACUCAUUUGCUUCCACCCAAGAGAGACUCACCUCUUAUGUUCAAUGGAUAUUUAAAACUGUGGACAGUUGGCAGUUGUGGUCGUCGGUUUCCCAGCUACACCACUAUUGCUAGCCAGGGCUCGUAUUUGCAUAUCCGCAUCUCACUCAAGAGAAGAUCUUAUUAAAGCCCUACAGGUAAAAGAAAUCUUGCAAUGAGUUCACUUCUUUUCUCUCCCAUAUCAUUUACCCAGUGUUCUAAAAUACGCUUGGCGGUAAUCUGGCGGUGGAUCACCGUAUAGCGCCUAACUGUAUAUGCGGGGUAUACGGUGAAUAUAUUUUUAUAAAAAUAUAUAUGAUUAUAUAUAUAAUAUGAAUAUAUUGCAAAUAUAUAUAUUAUAAUAAAAAAAAACAAUUGUCAAAAAAAAUAAAAGGAGUCUCACGUUAAACUCCAACUCUCAAAAAAUGAAAACAUAAUGACAACCAUAUUUAUAUAAGCAGCACCGUAUUGAACCGUAUAACACCGUAUAACGACCGUAUUGAGCUGUAUAAUACCGUAUAAUGGCCGUAUUGAGCCGUAUAUCGCCGUAUAAGUGGUCGUAUUGAACCCAACCGUAUUUGUUAAACGCAUAGCUUAAAAAUAGUACAGUAGUCUGCCGUAUAGCGUAUAACUAGCGUAUAUACGGCCGCCUAGGGCGUAUUUUAGAACACUGCAUUUACCACGAAGAGCCCUAGUAGUAUUAGUAUAAAACCCGAAUUCCCGGGUUUCCAAAUAGGUCUAUAUAAAUCAAAUGAAGCCCUUCUCAGAAUAGUAUAUAUGAUUUGAGUCUACCUCAGAAGGCUAAAAGCCUAAGAAAGGGACUGUGCUUAUUAGUUGAUCUACAAAUGGAUUCACACGUUUUAAUUUUCGACGUGUUAUGACAGGUUAUAAGCAAAGCAGGUGACCUUACCGGGAUCAAAUAUUUUCCGGCUGCUCCAAAGAAGCAAGAAGUAGAGAAAAAUGGCAUCAAAUUGGAUUAAAACCGCAAUGCAUCAGUUUCUUUCCAAGAGAGGUUUGGUUAGCAAUUAGCAUUAGUGUACAAUUUCCUCGCUGUUCGUCUUUGCCUUGUCGUCCCCUCUACUUGUCGUGAAACAUGUGAUUGUUGUCAUUCUUCUUUCUUUAUUUUUUUUUUAAUUGGUUUUGUCAGAGUUAAUUGUAUAGUAUCCCAUCUUUAAAUUGUUGCCCCAAAAAAUUUACAGAUGUUAUCGAAGACAUUUUCGAAUUGUUUUGUUUUGGUCUUCCAGACCACGAAUAUGCCAGCAGAAGUGGUUCUCAAAACUACCAAAAAAACUUGCAUCAUGUUUGAAUUGCAUUCAUAAUUUUCCUUGGAUUUAGGAGUUGUACAUGCAAUUCAAGGAACGUUCAAUAAAGAGGUUUGUCAAUAUUGAUUCACUCGUUUGUGACUUCAUGUCUUCGUUAGCUAUUCAGUUCGCACAUGGUCCAGCCAAAACACACAUGAGUAACACAUAUACGAGUAUUGAGUUUUUGUGGCACUCUUGACUUCUUUUCUUAUGAGAAACUAUGAAGAAACAUUCUUCAACAACAUGAGUCCCAUGAUGAUCCAGGUUACCUUAAGAGGAACAUAAUUGUUUGUUGCAAGAAACUCCUCCUAUUUUAAAGGUUGUUGAUGGUACCCUGCCACUGUUGAUUCACAUUGAAUAUUUUAAAACACAUAAUUAUGUGGAUAUUUAUGUCUUAUAAGUUUGUUAUAUCGACUAACAUGUAACUAUUUAAGUUAGAUCUGAAUUAAAAAAUUAAUAAAAUCUUUUUGUAGAGGUAGCCGUUUUUGUCAUAUACGAAUACUAAAAAUAGUAAGGUCCAGUCUGGGGACCAAGACUUGAUUAGAGGUGAAAGAGAGAGGUUAUUUCUCUCUCAAGUAACAUCCGGAGGGACCAAACUGCUACAAACAUCAUCGGCUGCUCUACGAUAAGGAGAAGAUAGGUAAUGGGACCAAAAAAAUGUGGAUCCUGAGUGGUCAUAUAUAUAGCUCAUGACUCCACUCACAAGCGAAGAUCUGAGGAGAAGACUACGCCGAGUUGAACAAUGGUUACGAUCCCGUACCUUGCUGCUGCAUCCACUUACUUCAGCUACGGCUUGCUCUUCACCUUUGGUCAGCUUCGCGAUAUGAUUACUUUCGUCGAAUCUUUGAUUGGUGGCAAACGAAGAAUCUCACAGCUUUCUACAGCAUUGGAGAAUUUCUGUUUACCUUUGGUCACACUUUUUCUCCUAACCCUAAUAUUGGAUACGCUCCCAUCUGCUUGGCUCAUGAAGAUUUCUACAGAAGACGCUUUUAUCAUCGGAUCGGAUUCAGGUAUAUGGAGACUUUGUUUCACAGGUUUGGUGCUUAAUUCUUGGUUCCUAAUGUUUUUUCUUUGUGUGUGUGAGAGUGAAAGACUGUUUUGGACAUCCCAUAGCAGGUGCACCUAAUACAUGGGUUGAUUUGGUCGAGAGAUACUCUGAAGACAACAACAAGACGCUAAAGUGAGUGUGUUUUCUUCUAUUAAACACUUGUAUGGUCACAUUGAGAGAAUAUGAAACCAAAUGUAAACGUUGAGAGGUUGCAACUACGUGCAGACGAACGACAAAGACCAGCAGGUGCCUUUGGGUUCCUACAAUUAUCUUGGAUUUGGUUUCUUGGAUGAAUACUGCACGCCUCGUGUUACCGAGUCUUUAAAGAAAUUUUCAGCAAGUACAUGCAGCUCUCGCGUUGAUGCAGGUACAGUGUCUUUGCCUAUAAGGUCUCAAACAAUCUCUUCUCUUUUGUUUCCUGACAUUUGUUGUUUAUGCCAUCAGGAACUACAUCUGUCCAUGAAGAACUCGAGGAAUGUGUUGCUAAAUUUGUGGGACAGCCUGCUGCUGUUGUUUUUGGCAUGGGCUACCUAACAAACUCGGCUAUCAUUCCUGUCUUGAUUGGAAAGGUAAUGAAUAAACCUUGUGAUAUAUGAACGCUUAUGUUACUCCUAAUACAUAUGUUUCAGGAGCCACUAUCCGUGUUUUCCAACACAACAGUAAGCAUUUCUCAUGCUUCACUUUCCAUACUUCUACUAUACAUUUUUGCAACACUUUUAAGGAAUCCAAUCGGGUCGGGUUUUUUUUUUUUUUAAUUUUGACCCGGAAAUCUUCAAUUGGAUCUUCCCUUAAAUUUUGUCAAAUAUCAAAAACGAAAUUAUUAUAAUAAAAUCUAAAAAAAAUAUAUACUCUCAACUAAUUACUAUACCUAAACACUUUAUUUAUGGAAUAUUUUUUACGAUUUUUAUAGAUAAGGAAAUCAAAUAUGAUGAUUUGAUGCUAAUAUAACAAAUUUGAGAUAAUUUCCUAAAAAAUCUCUACCUAAUUUAAACAUAAAUAUAUGAUUCUCAUUUUACUUUUAUUUGAUCUUAUAUUUAUAUUAUUUUGAAUUAUUAUAAAAAAUAUAUAUAGUUAAUAAAACUUUAGAUUUUUUUCCUGCAUAUGCUAUGAUUCAAAAUUUUAAAAACGGACAUAUAUUACUCAAUCGAUGAAGAAAAAAAUCUACUUAAAAUUUUUAAAGUACAUUUAUUGAUUUUUGACCCGAAAAUUUUCAAUCGGAUCUUUCCUUAAAUUUUGGUAAAAUUUAAAAAUGAAAUUAAUUAAUACAAAUAUAUAUAUAUUUUUUUCUCAAAUAAUUACUAUAUCUAAACUUUUUAUUUAUGGCAUAUUGUCUAUGAUUUUAAUAAAUAAGGAAAUCAAAUAUGAUGAUUUAAUGCUAAUAUAACAAAUUUGAGCUAAUUUCCUAAAAAGUCUCUACCUAAUUUAAACAUAAAUAUAUGUUUCUCAUUUCACUUUUAUAUUAUAUAUAUAUAUAUAUAUAUAUAUAUAUUAUUUUGAACUAUUGUAAUAUAUAUUCCAUUAUUAAAAUUUUCGAUUUUUUCUGCAUAUGCUGUGAUUCAAAAUUUUUUAAACGGACAUAUAUUACUCAAUCGAUAAAGAAAAAAAGUAUGUGUACAAUCUAUAUUAAUAUUUUUGAAGAACAAAUUUGCGCGUUUAAUCAGGUCGUUUUUUUUACUCUGACUCGGAAUUGAGUCAUUCGGAUAUUUCCUUAAUUUCUACAAUUAUCCAAAACGAGACAAUAUACCACGGGUGAAAUCCUAAAAUUAACAAAUCAAAAUAUAAUUAUUUAGUAUUUUAAGAUACAAUUAUAAAUUAUUUUUAUGUGUUGGUCCAGAAACACACAUUAAUUUUAAAAUAUAUAUAUAUUAUAGAAACCAUUUGAAAGUAGAAUUUUAAAUUGAUUCGAAUUAUAUAUCUUUUUAAAAAAGUGUUAUUAAAAAAAUAAUAAAAAUGAUGUUUAAUUUUACGGGAUGAUAUUAGAUGGUGGGACGGGUUUGGAUUAAUAUUAAUUCGGGACAAUAUAUAUCACGGGUGAAAUCCUAGGAUUUUCAAAUUAGCUUUCACCCCUGAUAAAAUUAAAAUAUAAUUAUAUAAUUUUAAAAACUAAACAAAACAAAUACAAAUUAAAUUUCUAUUUUUUAGUUACAAUUAUCUAUUCAUCAGUAUAAAAAGAUUAAAAAAAAUCAAAUAAUUAACCCGCGGUGUACCGCGGGUCAUAUCCUAGUUAAUCCAAUAAAGUGGGUGACAUAUCAUAUUUAUGCUCAUUUGGAAAGAGUUUUGAAAGAACAAAUCGCUGAGGGACAACCAAGGACACACAGACUGUGGAAGAAAAUCAUCGUUGUUGUUGAAGGUAUUUACAGCAUGGAAGGGGAAAUCUGUCAUCUGCCGGAGAUUGUCUCAAUAUGCAAGAAGUAUAAGGUGAGGUAAACCAUCUUUCAUGAUCGACAUAGAUGAGAGAGAGAUUAAGGUAUUCAAUCAACUGAAUUAUCAUUUGUAUGUAAUUUGUUUCAGGCAUAUGUUUAUUUGGAUGAAGCUCACAGCAUUGGAGCAAUUGGCAAAACAGGAAGAGGUGUUUGUGAACUCCUAGGAGUUGACACUUGUGAUGUGGACAUAAUGAUGGGAACUUUCACGAAAUCUUUCGGGUCUUGUGGUGGCUAUAUUGCCGGAUCCAAGGUUAGCAAUUAUAUACCUUUGUUCUCAUUUACUGAUAUUUUGUUUGCACAUGAGUAAAGAAAGAGCUACUAUAGGACCUCAUCCAAUACUUGAAGUACCAUUGCCCUGCUCACCUUUACGCAACAUCAAUUUCAACUCCUGCUGCACAACAAGUCAUAUCGGUUAUAAAAGUUAUCCUUGGAGAGGAUGCUUCAAACAGAGGUAACUCUAUAGUUUCUUUUGGUCUUUGAGCUUCAUAAUCUCAAAGAAACUGGACAGGGGCACAAAAGUUGGUAAGAAUAAGAGAGAACAACAACUUUUUUGGGCUGAGCUCCAGAAGAUGGGGUUUGACGUUCUUGGAGACAAUGAUUCCCCAGUCAUGCCAAUAAUGCUUUACAAUCCAGCAAAAUCGCAGCCUUCUCAAGGGCAUGGUUGCAAGAAAACGUAAGUCUCUUAUUUGUUUUCCCCCAUAUCUCACUUGCUUCCGCACAAAAGAGAGGCACCUCUAUGUUUCAAUGGACACAAUUAACACUUGGAACAGUUGGCAGUCGUGGUAGUCAGUUUCCCAGCUAUACCUCUAUUGCUAGCCAGGGCUCGUUUUUGCAUAUCCGUAUCUCACUUGAGAGAAGAUCUUAUUAAAGCCCUGAAGGUAAUCUUGCGUCGAGUUCACUCGCUUUCUCAGCAUAGUAAACAUGAUUUGAAUCUACCCCAAAAGGCUAAAAGCCUAAGAAUGAGACUGUGCUUAUAGUUCAUCCGCAAAUGGAUUCACACGUUUCUUAAUCAUCUCCGUGUUAUGACAGGUUAUAAGCAGAGUAGGUGACCUUACAGGGAUCAUAUAUUUUACGGCAGCUCCAAAGAAGCAAGAAGACGAGAAAAAUGGCAAUACUUCAAAGUUCAAACUAAGAAUAUAGAAUUUUUUUUCCUUCAAAAACCAAAUUAGAGCACAAAUUCUCUAACAUGGUUGAGUGCACCACUUCAAACCAAUUGACAGCAUUUUGUUACUAAUACAAAAACCUUACAAGUAACACACAUGAAAAUUUCCUGUGUUAACUCAGACCCGCAAUCUUUCUGGUUUUAGCCUCCUAUGGUUCCUCUGUUUCUGCAUGAAGAGUCUAAUUUCUUUUUCUUAAUUGCUCCUGUUUCUACUUAUUGAGAUACCUGAACACUUCACACUGUAUAUAAAAUGCUAGACUAAACACAUUCGUUUUCUUCCCUUGGAACUUCUAGUGCAAAUAGCUACACCUAUUCGAUUGCAAAAUCCUUAUCAUCAUAAGUCAGAGAGUUAUAUAAACCUUAUUCCUCUUCCUCUUCUUUUCCCACUUCUACUUCUACUAAUACUAUUGUGCCUAAUGCAACAUUCAAACAACAAACAUCAAGAUAAGAAACAAUAAAGACGAAUGAAAGAUCUAUAGCGUAAAAAAAAGGCUCUCAUGGUUUCAGACAUUGCAAGCUUACACUCUGCCAUGGCUUUCACUAUCAUCAACAAAAAACAACAAUAACAAAAAAACACCAUUGCUUUUCUUCUUAACCGAUCAAAAUUCUCUCACACACACUCAUGAGAACUCCCUACCAAGCUUCUGAAUAGCACAAAACAUCUUCCUCCUCGAUCCAACAGCAUUAAUCCCCAUAUCUUUAAGAUCUUCCAAUGUCAACAAUGGCAAAACCUCUUCAUCAACCUCAUGUAUCUCAAACAUAGGCCAAUAUCGCCCUAACCCUAACUCUUGUAACCAUAUCUUCACACCUUCUCUUCCUCCUCCACCACCAAUUCCUCCAUCCAUAUUCGAUUCAAAUUCUCUGUUUCCACUACUAUUGUUACUCUCAUACCUUCUUCUACCAUAAAACCCACCACCAUCUCUAUCCAAAGACUCUUCCUUUAUUGGACUCUCUGAAUCUUCUCUACUAAAAUCCCUAAACCCACCUUCCAAUUCUUCCCCUCCACUAAUUUUCUCAUCCCCAUCCCCAAUUUUCGAUACCCAAUUAGAUCUAACUCUCUUUGCUGCUGCUGUAGUUGUCGAUGACCCGACCCGUUUCUUAACCCGCCAACUCCCAACACCAAAAGAAUCCACAUUUCCUUCUCUUUCAUCAUCUAGGGUUCCGAUAUUAUCAUACCCAGAACUCAAAUUCGUUAGGGUUCGAGUCCUCGACGAUUUACUCAUAUCUUUUCUAUUACCACUCGUCGUCGUCGUUUGUGUCCAUUUCGAUUUCCGUCCUUGUGAAUCAUACGCCGCCGCCGCGUGGUGAUGAUGCUGCUGGUACUGGUCUCCGCCGAUUUCGCCUAAUCGAACACUUGGUCUUCUCAAUCGUUUCGAUCCAGCGGCUGUAAUCGCCGUCGCUUCGGCUGAAGUUGACGCCGGAGUAGAAAUAACGCCGCCGUUUGUUUGCUGACCAUCCACUGGUUGCAACUCCGCCAUUCUUUUUCAAAGCCAAAUUGGUUUCUUUAUUUCAGAUUGGAACCGCCAUAGGCAAGUAUGGAGCUACUGGAGAAGAUGAUGAAAGGUCGAGUCUUUGGCUUAGGCUAUUUAGGUUUAUCUGGAGGAAUCAGAAGUGGGUGUGAGAGAAAGAGGAGAGAAUCGUCGUCAUCAGGAGAAUCGAGCAAGGAAGAAGAAAGAGCGAUGUUCACUUACUGACACGUGUGUGUUUGUGCAGUCACUAACAGUUUUUUUAUACAACAAUUGAUCAACAAGUCCCUCAAUUUCCGUCAGUUUCUUUUAAAUGCCUCGAUCUUCAUUUUUUAUCAGUUUUUUCCAUUAUCGAAGGGUAAAAUGGUCAUUUGAUAAUCAUCUUCAACCUGAGACCUGCGAUUUUUCAGAACCCUAGCUUUGGCAGAAGAUUCUUCAACAUCAAACAUCAUUUCUCCGAUUUGGGUAUAUUCUCGCGGUGGCUCAUGUAUCUGAAAGAAGGAUGUUCGUUGCUAUUGAAAGUUCAAAAACCUCUAAUCCCAUUUGUCCUCAACACAAAUCUCAAUGUGAAUCUCCUCACAGAAUCUCCAAACCACGCAGAGAUCAAAGAAUCAGCUGUGUUAAAGAGACUGAGACAAGAGUCAUGUGUUCCCUUAGCUUUGCAUUUCUUCAAAUCCAUUGCUAAUUCAAAUCUUUUCAAGCACACGCCUUUAACAUUCGAGGUGAUGAUCAGAAAGCUUGCAAUGGAUGGUCAGGUUGAUAGUGUUCAGUAUCUUUUGCAGCAAAUGAAACUACAAGGUUUUCAUUGUUCUGAAGAUUUGUUUAUCAGUGUUAUUAGUGUAUAUAGACAAGUGGGUUUAGCUGAAAGAGCUGUGGAGAUGUUUUAUAGGAUUAAGGAAUUUGGUUGUGAUCCUUCGGUGAAGAUAUAUAAUCAUGUUUUGGAUACUUUACUUGGUGAGAAUAGGAUUCAGAUGAUUUAUAUGGUUUAUAGAGAUAUGAAGAGAGAUGGGUUUGAGCCUAAUGUGUUUACGUAUAAUGUUCUUCUUAAGGCGUUGUGUAAGAAUAAUAAGGUAGAUGGUGCAAAGAAGUUGCUGGUUGAGAUGUCGAAUAAAGGCUGUUGUCCUAAUGCUGUGAGUUAUACCACGGUGAUCUCGUCGAUGUGUGAGGUUGGUAUGGUGAAGGAAGGUAGGCAACUCGCGGAAAGAUUUGAACCUGUUGUGAGUGUUUAUAAUGCUUUGAUUAAUGGGUUAUGCAAAGAGCGUGAUUACAAAGGGGGGGUUGAAUUGAUGAGUGAAAUGGUGGAGAAGGGGAUAUCUCCUAAUGUUAUCUCGUACUCUACACUUAUCAAUGAGCUUAGUAAUUCUGGUCAGAUUGAGCUUGCUUUCUCGCUUCUGGCUCAGAUGUUGAAACGAGGGUGUCAUCCAAAUAUCCAUACAUUGAGUUCUCUUGUGAAGGGUUGUUUUGUAAGAGGUACGACCUUCGAUGCUCUAGACAUGUGGAACCAGAUGAUCAGAGGAUUUGGGUUACAGCCGAACGUUGUAGCGUAUAAUACUUUGGUACAAGGAUUUUGUUCCCAUGGGAAUAUAGACAAGGCUGUGUCUGUCUUUUUACACAUGGAAGAAAUCGGAUGUUCUCCAAACAUCAGAACCUAUGGCUCACUUAUCAACGGCUUUACCAAAAGAGGUAGCCUCGAGGGCGCAGUUUAUAUAUGGAAUAAGAUGCUAACUAGUGGAUGCUGCCCAAAUGUUGUGGUGUAUACUAGCAUGGUGGAAGCUCUUUGUAGGCACUCCAAGUUUAAAGAAGCUGAAUCUCUUAUAGAAAUUAUGUCCAAAGAAAACUGUGCUCCUUCUGUGCCAACGUUUAACGCAUUUAUCAAAGGUUUAUGCGAUGCAGGGAGGCUUGACUGGGCUGAGAAAGUGUUUAGACAAAUGGAGCAGCAAUACAGAUGUCCUCCCAACAUUGUAACAUACAACGAGUUACUGGAUGGGCUCGCAAAGGCAAACCGAAUAGAAGAAGCUUAUGGUCUAACCCGAGAGAUCUUCAUGAGAGGUGUGGAGUGGAGCACAUCAACUUACAACACUCUUUUACAUGGAUCAUGCAAUGCAGGUCUCCCGGGGAUAGCUCUGCAGCUAGUAGGAAAAAUGAUGGUCAAUGGUAAAUCUCCGGAUGAGAUAACAAUGAAUAUGAUAAUAUUAGCAUAUUGCAAACAAGGAAAAGCUGAGAGGGCAGUCCAGAUGUUGGAUCUAGUUUCAUGUGGAAGAAGAAAGUGGCGGCCUGAUGUAAUCUCUUACACAAACGUGAUUUGGGGUCUAUGCAGAUCUAAUUGUAGGGAGGAUGGAGUGAUUCUUUUUGAGAGAAUGAUAAGUGAAAGGAUCAUCCCAAGUAUUGCUACAUGGAGUGUAUUGGUUAAUUGUUUUAUCCUCGAUGACAUCUUGAGCCCAUGAUCAGUCUUACCUUAUAGCAAAUAUUGUUCAAUUUUGUUGUGAAGCCACAUGCUUCUCUGUAUGAAUAUAAGAAGCAUUAACUCCGGUAGAUAUAUGGAAAUCUUGUGAUCAGAUGGAGGCUUGGCUUGUGGGUUUUCACUGGACCCGUCAAGAACUCAAAGAAAACAUUUUAAUCCUUACAAGAAAAAUCAGACGACUAGUUUUGGUACCUGACAAAUACAUUGCUGAGAUAUUGGUAAGCAAAUAUUAUGAGACAGAUAUGAUUAUUUGGUCAGCAUUCAUUUAUUCUCUUAUUAUAUUUUUUGUUACAAAUAAGCCAUAUAAGUUGGUUAAUCAUUCUGAUGGUGAUAGACUAGAUUCUUUGGACCUUAUUCUACAAGAAUCUGGAGAUGUGUAUUGAUGUAUGAUUGGAAUUUUUUUGAUUCAGUUUUAAGAUCCGUCUGUCAAGAAGCUGCUCGGAUGACUAUUCCUAACGAUGUUCUCUGGCUAAGGUUUGUGUAUUGAAGCCCUUGAUGAAAUUUGGAAUUAAAGGUUUGGCUUCUAACGAACAUAUAGGAGGGGAAUUUCGAGCCGAUGAAAGAUGAAACUUCCUGCUUCAGCUACCAUUCUGGUUCAAAAAUAUCCUUCAGGUAUUUUCUAAGCUCCCUUUUCCUUGUUAUUUAGGACUUCUCAGAAUUCACUGACAGAUAUUUUCAUUUCCUAUUCGUGCAGCUCAUAGAAACAAAGAGAGGACCAACUGCUGUAUACUAUUCUGCUUAAUAUAAUUUCGAGACUAGUAAAAGGUAAGACAUGUAUUAGAGGCAAGAAAAGAGAACAAAGAACAUAACAUUUGCUUAUGUACUAAAAUUAGACAUCGGACAAUCAAUCUCUAGCUUUGCUCUAUUUCAGUCCUCUAUGAUUAUACCUACAUCUCUGGUGAAGAAAAUUUCGGACAAUAGGAUAACAAAAGAAUUAAACCUAACCUAGAGUGAUAAUCUUCAACUCCUUACAAUGGCGCAAUAGCAGAGGAACUUGCCUUCGAAUGAAUUUAUCGUCGUCCAUUGAUCCUGUUUUGUGCUUAAGUUGUGUAUGGUGGUAAAUCAAUUUUUAGAUGUGCAGUUUCUUAGUCAGCUGGUGUAAUGCAAAGCUGACCAUGUCCUGGACUGUGCUCCAACGGGUACAUGCUUGUGCUUCUCACAAAAUUUUGAUGGUCGCUCACGGGUUUUCUGAGGUGUGAGACCAUUGGACGCUUGUUUUUGUUUCUCUUCUUUACUAUCGAGCAUGAAGCUAAUGGGUCUGAAGAUCCUGCUCCAACUCUCCUGCAUAUAGAAUGGGUUUCCUUUAGAGAAUUGAUAAAUUUUGGCAAAGAAAGAAGAUGAAAUUGUGUUAUUGAUGAUUACCUUAAGAGCUUCUCUGCUGCAAUUCUUGCAGAUCUUAUUGUACUGCGGCUUGGCACCCAUUUUACGACUCGGUUUGGAUCAGCUCUCAUGGGAGAGUGUAUUUUAAUGAGCUAAAAAAAAAAGAAGAGAACCAAGUUAAAACCAAAAACCUUGAAGAGAUCUCUGAAUGUAUAAUAGGCCAAUGCAAAUCUAAUAAACAAAUCAAGUGGUUAUUGCCGUCUAACAACUAGUAUUGGAUAAUAAAGAAAAAUGGGAAACCAGAGACUUACACCCAAGCAUUCCAUCAUCUGGUAAUAAGCUCUACCAUGUAAAGGAGUAUGUCCUUGUCGGGAUUCUGAAAAAUAUCUUGUCCUGAAAGAGUAUUACAAGAGAUUAACGUAAACCAUGGUUGAUACACAGACCGGUAUAGACAGCAAGACAAAAUAAACAUAUGUAGACUUUUUACCACUCUUUAUAACCUGGGUCCACAGUGAAACCAUACAUAUCCACUGAAUCACAAGUCGAGAGAGCAAACUCAAGAGCCUUGAGCCCAGUACCUUUGGCUGCUGACCCAAAUGAAGCACCAAGCAUUAAGUACACAGGGUUUUUUAUUGGGACUUCCUGCAGAAAAAUGAAAAAUCCUCAGAUGAGUUUUGAAAGACCAGGAGCAGAUUACAGAUUUUCAAAACCAAAGGAGCUAAGAGACAAAUAAGUGCAAUGUACAAACCCGAAUCAUCUUGUUCAUAAUAUCAUGAAUUGUUGUUUUUACUAGCAGGACCUCUUGCUUUUUUUCUGCAUACAAAGGAUCAGAGAGGUGUAGAGUAUCUAUUUGCAAGCAUAAAAAACGCAACACACAAAAAUGAAAACAUAUAGAGAAACAAUGGCGAUGAUAACCAUGAAGAAGUGAAAAACAAGAAAACAGUUAGAUCGUACCAUCCAACUCCACAACUUUGUCAAGGGCUUUUGCUGACCCUCGAUUAAGAAGUCGGAAUGUACUUUUUUCUCCCACAUAUUCCUUGUAGUUCUGCAAGAAGAUAUUCCAAAAACAAAAACAAAAGUGAAGAUAAAUGAGUCCAUAGAGGGAACAAAAGAACUGGAAGUUAGAUAAAAAGAACUCAUUAUUAACCUGAAUCGGAGCACCAUUUUCUCUUAGAACUGCAUCGUAAGUAUCUAUCUCCUUUCCGAACUUUGUUUUUAAGAGAUCACCAGAGUUACCAAUAACAGCACAUCGCCCAAACUGCCGGGGAAAAUAUGGUGGUGUUUCAGCAAGCACCAAUGAGAGCUUCUCGAUGCAUAAAGAUUUAUUCUGGCAACGAUUACUGCACCAGAAUGCGAGUUUCAUUAAGGCCAGACAAGGAAGAAGACACCACAGCAUUUUAAACUACUUGUUAUAUUGUGACUGAGACCCAUCAAAGAAGCAAGUUUUGAGCUGUUGUCUAUGAAAACGGACUGUAAUUAUCAUGCAUUUCAUCUAAUGUCAGUCAAUACUUACAGUUGAAUUCCUUUAUUGAUUCUGCGCCAAGCAUAAUCCUCCCAUCCAUUUGGUAAGGCAUCAAUGUAUUCCUUGGUGAGUAUGGUAGAGCUAUUCCUAACCUAGUCAACCAACUCGCCAAUUAACCCAUCACUAUAAAGACUAUAACCAAUUUUAUGAACUGAAACUUUAAAAAGACUUUCUGCAACACCUACUUGUUCCCAUGUAGCUACUGCUUCACACAGGUCAAACUCAUAUGACAGUCCUUCAAGCUCUCCAGACUUUGGAUCUUUCUGUUGUUGUACAUAAUCCAACACAUAGAGUACAAAUAUUCAACCGACCAUUUUUGCUAUAAACUAAGACAAGGACUAUGACAAGCUUACCCAUUUGGGGACAGUAUCCUUGGGGAAGUUUAUUGAAACUUUGCAAUAAUCCCUACCCAUAGCAGCUUGUAGUCCUAAACCAUUUGCACUCUGCAUCCAUUAGAUCAGUUCUAAUCAUCUAAGCUCCAGAUUCAGAGGUAAGAUCUAACACAAGAUAAGGAAGCUAUCACUUACUACGCACUUCUGGAAUCCGCUCUGCAAGGAAUGCAACGCCUCUAAAUCUUCAUUGCUAAGCCGAUUAGACUCGUCUGAAUCCACGGAAGCAUCUUCUUUAUGAUUAAUCAUCUCCAUACUUCAGAAAAAUCACGAAAUACAACACUACAAGAAUCUACACUUAGACAACGAUGGAGUGUGCUUACAUAGAUUAGAGACGCCGAUAAUGUAGAUUAGAACAGCAGAGAUUCCAGUUGUUAGAGCUAAUAAGAAUAUCAAAUGCAAGAGCUUCAUCGAUUCCCCAGUAAGAAACUUCAGCUUCGAGAUUUCAAAGAGACGAUUGUGAAUUUCUCGAUCUUUCUAAGUAACUAAUAAGUUCCGAUCUACGCGAGUGAGUCUGAGAACAGCGUGUAGUCCUCACUCUGAAGAUUAGACGGCAAACAGUUUUUUCACUUAUAAAACGCUGCGUAGAUAACUUAAGACAAGCCAGUGAACGACAAGAUGUUCUAGUGAGUAACAUGAAAACGGCGUCGAUUUGACGGAACGUUAUAUCAAAUGAGAACUGGCCACGUGGCUAUAAACCCCUUCGUCGUUCAUCUUCAUUCAUCUUCAAAAAAACCCUAAACAUUUCUGUAAAAAUCUCUGCUACUUCAAAUUCCAUCAAAGCAGAUUGAUAAAGCUUAAAUAAAGCCCAUGAUGAAAUGUUGAAUCUUUUUUAUUUCAAUGGCGGUUUUAAGUCUGGGUUUCUUCUCUUGCAGAUCCCAUUUUCCUGUUCUUCCCCUGUUUUACUGUUUCUCCAAGGUAACUCUUUGUUAUAUAUACACUUUGUAUAAUUCAAUGUAAUUCGUUUUCAUAUACUUGAAGUCUUGUUCUUUUUUCUUUAUUUUGUUGUUUCGCUUACAGGUUCAGUUCAACACUGUUGCUGCUGCAAUUGAGACUGUGGAUGACAAGGACAGUGAUCAUCUUGAGAAGGGUUCUGAUAGGACGAGUAAGUUACUUAUAACGAAUUUGAUGGAUUUGAAUUGAAAAUUGUGCUUCUUUUUAUCCCCAUGUUAUCUAUAUUUUACUGAGUGAUGGUAGUAGACUCGGACUCAAUUCUCCAAUUUCAGUUAUUAUGUCAGACAUUUGUAGAAAACAUUCACUUAUAGUAUACUGCUAUUUGCUUAUCUUUUGGCUUGAUUUGAUGUUUUUGGUAAUUUUGUGUAAUUUGUUGAAAGGUAAAGCACCAGAGUGGAAGAAAUUGAAUUCAAAAGACCUUGGGAUAACUAGUUCUAUGAUUUCAAAGCCCACACGACUAGUGCUAAAUGGCCUUAAGAGUAAAGGUUGAUUCUUUUUGAUCAUUUGAUAGAAUCUAACGAUGAAAUCUCAAACUUUUCUUUUACCUUUAUCUCUUGCUGGCUUUGACAGUUGCCCAUGACCUGUAGGAUAUGAUGUUUAUCUUGUGGGAGGCUGUGUACGGGAUCUUAUUUUGAAGCGGACGCCAAAAGACUUCGAUAUACUCACUUCUGCGGAACUUAGAGAGGUUGGUUUCCAAUCUAAAAGUCAUCUCUUGAACAUCGUCUUUAUCUGAUUUCGAAAUGGAUUUUUGUUCUUGUUUGAAAUGUCUUUAGGUUGUUCGGACUUUCUCAAGAUGUGAAAUUGUUGGAAAAAGGUUUCCUAUAUGUCAUGUGCACGUUGGGAAUGAGAUGAUAGAGGUUUGUUUUUUUUCUUGUCAAUGAUUUUCUUUUAUAUUACCAAUAUAAGCAUAGCAAAUGCAAAUCAGAACAAUUUGUUAGCUCUCUCUUAAAAUUUCUUUGCAUUCUUGUUGAGUAGGUUUCGAGUUUUAGCACCUCUGCACAAAAUUCUCCAAGAAACAUGAGAACGGGUUCUGGAAAAUCCAAUGGCUCCUAUGACGAGGACAACACCCGUUUGAAUAACUGCUUGCAGCGUGAUUUCACAAUUAAUGGGUAUCUUAUUAAUCCCUUGAUGAUAUCAUACACUCUUUUUUGGAGAUCUCAUAGUUUCUUUCAUUACUUUUCUUUACAUGUUUAUGUUGUUUUUCUUCAAAUCUCAGGUUGAUGUUUGAUCCAUAUGCCGAAGUUGUAUAUGACUAUCUUGGGGGAAUAGAAGACAUUAAAAAAGCUAAGGUGUGAACAUAUUCUGUUAUACCUUUUUCCCUCAGGUAAAUAUUUACAAAUACCUUUCUUCUCAUUGUGGUUCUUUGCUCACAGAUACGGACAGUGUUUCACGCUGGCACAUCUUUUCAAGAGGACUGUGGUGAGUUUUCUGGGAAAAUAAUCAUCUAUGUAACAUGUCCACCUCGGUUUCUUUUACAAACAUCGUUCAGAGUUCAGAGUCUCGAAAAACAAAUUCUUGUAUGAAUACCAUUAAGAGUCCAGAUAAUAGAAGCUUAUCAGGGCUUACCGAAUAUAACAUAUCCAGCCAGGAUUCUUCGUGGGACAAGAAUUGCUGCGCGUUUAGGUUUUACAAUCUCCAAGGAAACAGCUCAUUUCUUAAAGAACCUUUCCUUCUUAGUACAAAGACUCCACAGGGUACUGCUUCACUCCACAAAGAAAUAUUUUUCUCCACAUUAUUUUUACAACAGCAUGUUUAUGAAUGAUUCUGCGUUAUACAUGUAGGGAAGAAUCUUGAUGGAAAUGAAUUACAUGUUAGCGUAUGGAUCAGCAGAAGCUUCUUUACGAUUGUUGUGGAAAUUUGGGAUACUAGAAAUUCUUUUACCAAUUCAGGUGAGUGAUUCCACUCAUCUCUUGUUGUGUCUUAAAAAUGUAUCUUUGCGUCUAUCUAACUUUAAUAUUCACAGGCAGCAUAUCUCGUUCACACUGGGUUCAAGAGACGCGACAAGAGGAGUAACUUGCUUCUGGUAAUAUGCAGAUGCGCAUUUUGCAAUAUUCGUCACAGAGAAGUGUCUAUUGCUUAAAUUAUCGAGUAAAGAACUUAUAGUUAACAUUUCGUCAUGCAGUCUCUCUUUGGAAAUUUGGAUAAAUUGUUGGCUCCUGAUAGACCUUGCCACAGCAGCUUGUGGUACGGUCCUCAUCUAUUAAGUUCCUGUAAACACAGUCCUUACCAUAUACAGUGUAUAAUAUUGUAAUACGCAACAAUAUUGUGUUGGAAAUUUGUAGGCUAACAAUCUUGGCUCUUCACAAAGCACUUGCUGAUCAACCUCGAUAUCCUUCAGUGGUAGCCGCGUUUAGCCUUGCUGUCCACAAUGGUGGAGAUGUUCUAGAAGCUGUAAAAAUCACCAGGAAAGUCACAAAGCCACAUAAUAGAAGCUUCUUUGAGCUACUGGAGCCAGAGGAACUGGACUCCCAAACCUUGUUGGAUGAAGUUAUGGAUUUUGAUUCAUCUAUCAAAGAAGCCUUGGGACAGAUGACUGAUGGGAGGUUUAUUUCUAAGGCUAUGGCAGCGUACCCUCAGGCCCCAUAUUCUGAUAUGGUAAGCGCUCCUAUUUUUCUUAGCUUCAUAUAACAAUAUUUCAGUGAUGGAAAUGCAAAUGCAGAUUCUCCGGAGAACGCCUAGACUAUAGGUUAUGGAGCUUGAUAUAUCUUUUGGUUGAAAAUUACAAACAAAGAUUUCCUCGGUUUAGCUGUUGUCCUAACUCUCUUCUAUCCUUUACUUUUUUACAGGUUUUCAUACCGUUGCAAUUGUAUCUAGAUGCAAGACGUAUAUUCGAGUGUGUGAAAGAAAAUGGGCAGAAGGGAUUUGUGCCUAAGCAAGACAGUAAAAUUGAUUAUACCUCAUUAUCUUCAGGAAACCUUCCAGAAGUUAGACACGUAUUUGCUAGGGUUGUUUUCGACACAGUCUUUCCGUUAAACCCAUCUCAAGAGUUGUAGUCCCUCUUGGAUUGGUUGGGUUUAAACUUGAGAUUCGGUAGAAAGCAAAGGGAUAUGUUUGAUACCUUUCAUAUGUAGAACAUAAUAGCUAGAUAUCCUUUUGCUUUAUGUAGAACAUAUAUGUAGUGAACACCAGUUUUGUACUGUUACAAGAUAGAAACAAAAUAACAAUGAUAGUUGGGAGUUUUUUUCCCUUCUGUUUCUUUAAUGUGACAACUUUGUGAAGAAUGUCCAUGUAAUUUUAUGCGCUUACAGAUGGAGCAAGCGCAGGAGCUGGAGAAGCACCACCAGUUGUUGGCCUAAGAAAAUAAGAAAAUUAUAGGUAAUUGAUGAGUGUCUUUCAUAAUGUUGGUUCUAAAAUGAUUUGAGUGUUGAUGAGACUAUCUUUCAGUGCAGGUGAUGAAAACUUACAAUCCAGCUAAAACUUUAAAAGCUUGGCAACCUUCAGUUCUGAGUAUCAUCCUUGCUGAUGGGUUCUGGCCUACGAUUGAUACUCAGUGGUCUCCAACAUUUAAUUGAGUGAGAGUAUCUGUCAGCUUAACUUUACUUUGUGUUUGGGAGAUACACUUUUAUUGCUUGAACUUUAGCGGUUGAAAGCUGAAAACAUUUUGGGUCCAUAUCUGGAAUCUGAACUAACACUUUCAUGGGAGUUCAAAUAUCCUGUCUAUGUUCAGAACAAUGUAUGUGUCACUUUAUCUCUCUUUCAAAUCCUUGUGCAAGUCAAAACAUUCUUUUUAGACUUAUCGGCUUAAUUGAUGAGUAUUUGUCUUGCCUGCUGUCAGAAACGCUAUGUUCUGUUUGGCAUUCAGCUUCUUCAGAAUUGGUGAUAUUCAGGAAAUGCUCUUGUUGCUUCUUCCGCUGCUCAACUCUCCAUUGGCCAAGGACAAGUCCUCACGCAUUAAAGAGGAUACAUGUAUGGUAUUUUUCUGCAAAACUUUUGGAUCAGAAUAGGGUGAUGACCUCUCUCCCCCAGAUAUGUAGUGUAACUAAUUCAACUAGAAGCUAAGUAAUUGCACAUGAUUGCGUGUUUUGAGGAUAUGAAGUUAGACAAGAGAGCAGUGAUUUUCAUUGGCAAUGGAUGAAGAAUUCAGAGUAUGUUGUUACUUGCGAUCAAAAGAAUGACUUGUGGCAGGGAUUGAAAACAUUGUUUUCUUGUUGAUUGGGUAAUCUGGAAUUAUGGGGUCAUGAAGAUUGAUUUUGCCAUUUUGGUUGUAUUAAAAAAGUCAACGGACGAUCACCAAAAAAAAAAAAAAAAAAAGUCAACGGACGAUUAAACAGAAUAAUAAAAUUGGGCCGAAGCUUAGUAGCCCAUUAAGGCCCACAAAGAAGUGCGAAAACCCUUAACGAGGAUAUUUAUAACUUCUUAUCUUGCUGCUCUCAACGAACUCUUCCCGGCAAAUAAACCGCCACUGUUUUCAUCUUCUCCAUGGCCAGUUCCGGCGAAGUUAAUUUAUUGGGUUUGUUUUGGCUGGCUCUUUCUAAUCUAAUGUAUUGUAAAAACACAUGUCUAGGCUACUCUAGCUGAAGAGCUUGUUUUUGUUUUGUUUUUUGCUGCUCUUCUUUUAGGUAAGCGAGAGCCAGAAGAUGAUUUGGAGACCAACCCUAUUCUGAAGAAACAUAAGGAAAAAUCCGAGGUAACCUAAGAUGGUCAAAUUCCUCUAGUUUUUUGAGAAUUACACUCUGUUCUAAUGGCUACACUUAUGUAACAGGAGACAACGAAAGGAUUUGCUGAGAUCAAAGGAAAGGUCGAGUUGUUGAAGACAAAGUCUGAUCAGGCUCCACUGAAGGUAUGAUAUCUAAAAUAAUUGCACUGUUUGUUGCAUAUAUUAUACAAGUUUAUGUUCAAUUAAGCAUCUCGUUCUUAUUGUCUCCAAAAUGGCUACUCAUGUAACACAACUGUUGCCACAAAGAUGACCUAUGUUCUGAGGAUGAAUCUUUAUAUGAGGCUACUCUUUAUUGUUAAAAUCUUUUUUCUCCUUUGAGUUGUGCUUACACACUUGGCUGUUAAAUUCAGGCAGUUCCCUCAAGAAAAAAGACGCUCUCUGUUUCCCAGGUCUCUUGCCAUACUAACAUAUCAAAUAUGUAAGUAGCACCUUUAGUUUCCUCUUUCGUUCUUGCAGCCAGUUUUUCAUGACUAAUAUUUUAUCCUCCAUUUUUUACAGCAUCAAUUUCUUCAAAGAUGUUGGACAAGUUGUUAGUGUUCGACUUGAUUUAAACCGCGAGGGUAAGCGUUUGUCCAGUGGCUUUGUUGAGUUUGCUUCUGCCAACGAAGCAAAGAAGGUGAGACUAGUUUAUAGUUUAAUCAUGAAAUGUAUUUUACUAGUCAUUUGAAAAGUACCAUAUACUUAUGAUGCAAAGUUUUACAGCUAGUUAUUUGAAAGUGCCUUUGCUAAUUCAAUCUUUUAAUACUGUAGGCGCUGGAUAAGAAGAAUGGUGAAUAUUUGUGUGGUAAUAAGCUUACUCUUAGCAUGGCUGUGACAAAGGCUCCACGAACCAAGUAAAUUAAUUUUCCUUGUUAGAGAGAUUUGUUUCUCUAACACUAACUUAUUGCUAGAGUUUUUAUGGCAUUACAGAAGACUAACUCUAUUAUUUUUGUGAAUUAGGUAUUGCAUAGACCACAAGGUUUGGUAAGGGAUUUAACUAUUUGCAUGUGAAGUUUGUUAUCAAGAACACAUUGGGUGAAGUUUUUGGUAUACACGGAGAGAUGACAAGGCGUUUUGAUAUUCCAGGUACGAAGACUACCUUCGACAAGAAAGCCUUCCGAUAGAAGAAGAGGAGACAUCUCCCGAUUUUGUUGAGGUACCUCUUCUUAUUAUCUUUAAAAUAUAUGAGGCUCAGAAGAAACGCUUAGCUUUUAGUAACACAACUGUUAUCACAAUGUCGAAAGAUGACUUUUUCUGGGGAUGAAUCUUUAGAUGAGUCUACUUUUUGUUGUUAUGCAAUUUAUGUCCUUCUCUCUUUAGAGUCGUGCUAACACACUUGGCUGUUAAAUCCAGAUAGUUCCAGUAAGAAAAAAGACGCUCUUUGUUGCCAAUCUCUCUCCCCAAACUAAGAUGUUACAUAUGUAAGUAGCACCUUAAAUUUCCACUUUAGUUCUCGGAGCAAGUUUUUCAUAAUUGAUAUUUUAUCGUCCAUUUCUGCAGCAUCAAUUUCUUCGAAGAUGUUACAGAAGUUGUUGGAGUUCGACUUGUUGUAAACCCUGAGGGUAAGCAUGUGGGCUAUGGCUUUGUUGAGUUUGCUUCUGCUUACGAAGCAAAGGAGGUGAGAGUAGUUUUGUAGUAAUGAUGAAAAAGUAAUUUGAAAAGUAGUGUCUACUUGUGCUGAAAAUUAUACAAGUAGUUAUUUGAAAGUUCGUUUGCUGAUUAAAUCUUAAAUACUGUAGGCGCUGGAAAAUAAGAAUGGUGAAUAUUUGCACGAUCAUAAGAUUUUUCUUGAUGUGGCUAAGACAGUUCCAUACACUCCACGACCCAAGUAAAUUGACUUUCCAUGUUAUUGUGAUUUGUUUAUGUAACUUACUGCUUGAGUUUUGAUGCCAUUACAGUAGACUAACGCUAUUAUUUUGGUUAAUUAGAUACAAUCUUGUAGAGAAGCUUUGGUAAUGGAUUUAACUAUUUGCUCUUGAGGAUGUUAUCAAGAGCACAUUGGGUGAAGUUUUUGGUGUACUUCGAGAGAUCACAAGGGCUUUUGAUAUUCCAGGUACGAAGACUACCUUCUACGAGAAAGCCGUCUGAUAGAAGAAGAUGAUACACUAGAAGCACUUGAUGAAACUCACAAUUUCGUUGAGGUAUGUGUUCUAAUUAUCUUCAAAAUAUGUCAGGCUCAGAAUAAACACUUAGCGUUUAAUAACAGAACUAUUGCCACAAGUCGAAAGAUGACUGACUUAUGAUGGGGAGAAAUCUUUAGAUGAGGCUACUUUUUGUUGUUAUGCAGUUUAAGUUCUUUUCUCCUUAGAGUCGUGCUAACACACUUGGCUGUUAAAUUCAGGCAGUUGCGGUAAGAAAAAAGAUGCUCUGUGUUUCCGGUUUCUCUCACAAAACUAAAAUAUCAGAUAUGUAAGUAGCGCCUUUAGUUUCCUCUUUAGAUCUUGGAGCAAGUUUUUCAUGACCAAUAUUUUACCCUCCAUUUUUACAGCAUCAAUUUCUUCAAAGAUGUUGCAAAAGUUGUUCUUGUUCGACUUGGUGUAAACUGCAAGGGCAAGCAACUUGGCUAUGGCUUUGUUGAGUUUGCUUCUGCUAACGAAGCAGAGAAGGUGAGAGUAGUUUAGUAAUGAUGAAAUGUAUUUAAGUAGUCAUUUGAAAAGUAGUUAUUUUAAAGUACGAUUGCUGAUUAAAUCUUUUAUACUAGGCUCUGGAAAAGAAUGGUGAAUAUUUGCACAAACGCGAUAUCUAUCUUGAUGUGGCUAAGGCAGAUCCUCCAUACUCUUCUCAACAACCCAAGUAAAUUGAUUUUCCAUGUUAUGGAGAUUUGCUUCUGUAACACUGGUUGUAACUUAUUGCCAGAUUUUUGAUGGCAUUACGGAAGACUAAUGAUAUUAUUUUUGUUAAUUAGGUAUUGCAUAGAUCACAAGGUUUGGUACGACGACUACCUUCGACGAGAAAGCCUUCUGAUAGAAGAAGAUGAGGCAGUGGAAGGACUUGAUGAAACUUCCAAUUUUGUUGAGGUACCUCUCGUUAUUAUCUUGAUAUAUGUCAUGCUUAGAGGAAACGCUUAAGCGUGUAAUGACAGAACUGUUGUGAGAAAGUCGAAAGAUGAACUUAUUCUGGGGAUGAAUCUACUUUUUUGUUGACAUACAAUUUAAGUCAUUUUCUCCUUAGAGUGGUGCUAACACACUUGCUGUUAUAUUCAGGAAGUUACUUUAAGAAAAAAGACGCUCUUUAUUGCCAAUCUCUCUCCCCAAACUAAAAUAUCACAUAUGUAAGUAGCACCUUUAAUUUCCUCUUUCGUUCUUGGAGCAAGUUUUUCAGACUGAUAUUUUAUCCUCCAUUUUUACAGCAUCAAUUUCUUCAAAGAUGUUGCAGAAGUUUUUAGUGUUCGACUUAUUGUAAACCACAUGAAUGAGCGUGUGGGCUGUGGCUUUGUUGAGUUUGCUUCUGCUAACGAAGCACAAAAGGUGAGACUAGUUUAAUGAUGAAAAGUAGUGUAUACUUAUGAUGUCAAAUUUACAAGUAGUUAUUUGAAAGCACCAUUGCUGAUCAAAUCUUUGUACUGUAGGCGCUGGAAAAAAAGAAUGGAGUAAGAUUGCACUUUCUUUGUAUUGUUCUUGACGUGGCUGAGAUAGCUCCAUACCCUCUCCGACCCAAGUAAAUUGAUUUUCCAUGUUAUGGAGAUUUGUUUCUCUAACUUAUUGUUAGAGUUUUGGUGUCAUUGUACAAGUUUAAUGCUAUUAUUUUUGCUAAUUAGGUACACCCUUGCAGAGAAGCUUUGGUAAGUUUUUUAACUAUUUGCCUUUUGAGUUUUGUUAUCAAGAGCACAUUGGUUGAAGUUUUUGGUAUACAUGGAGAGAUCACAAGGGUUUUUGUUAUUCAAGGUAUGAAGACUACCUUGGACGAGAAAGCCUUCUGAUAGAAGAAGAUGAUUUGGAGACCAAACCGAAUAAGAAAAUGAAGCUCUUUGGUGUUCAUAAGAAGGAAAUCUUCCGCGUAUCUUGCGGUAAGAAGACUACCUUCUCUGACGACAAUUGAUAGAAGAAGAUGAAGCGCUUUGGUGUUUUUUGCUUGUGAUACAAUGCAACUUUUUUUGUUACUUCGGUUUUCAGAAAAUGUUCAAUAAAUCGUUAGGCGUCCAGUAGAAGCCUAGCACCUAGAUCAAUUAAUCAGGGCAUGGGCAUAGGCAUUAGUAAAUUAUUUACCUUUUUUGUCAUUUUCAAAAUUUUUAUAAGAAAACAUAAAUGUAUAAAAUAUGGAAUGCUGAAAAGUUACACAAAUCUUUCCAUUGUCGAUCUCAAGAGUUGUAGUCCCUCUUGGAUUGGUUCUGUUGAAACUGACUUCCAUAAGCAGAAACAUAAUAGCUAGAUGUAUGUAGUGAACACCAUUUUUAUACUAUACUACACAAUAGAAACAUAACAAGAAUAAUAAUUGGGAGUUUUGUUUCCCUUUUAUUGCUCUUAUGUGACGGCAAUGCGAGGAAUGUACUUGUAAUUUUAUGCACUUACAGAUGAAGCAAG
rnacentral:lncRNA from 1 species